rnacentral:lncRNA from 1 species
GACCAAACAAGAGGAAGAUCCAUAUAACCAGAAGAAAUCGUAUGUUACGAAAUUACUUUUCCUACAAGACCAAAGAGGGUAAAAACAGGUCAAGAAAUACAUGAUCUCAGAGACGAUAAAGAAUUUUUAAAAAUGAAAAGAAUUUAAUACAGAUCACCAAAUCAAAACGCUAGGCUCCAUGCAUCAAGCAGGUAAUAGUUUAACAAACCACGCAGCAAGAAAACAUGUUGAAAAUUCAAUUUGCAUGCCUUGCAGUAAAAACCCAGAAAUUAAAGUAAUAAAGAACGAAUCACUGAAUAAAUUGAUUUAUCUAUCUGGAGCCAAAUGUAUGCUGAUUAAAUAAUGAAGUUCAUGAUUCAAUUUUUAUUUAUAGCAUUAAAAGAACAAACACCAAGAUUAACUUCACAAACAUGAACCCGGAAAUGAAAAAGAAUACAAAAUUAUUGGAAGAAAGAUAGAGCAAGAAGAAAGCGUAUUUAUUUCUCCUGAAAAACCAAAGAGGUCACCGAAUCAAAAAAAUAUUAACUGAUUUAAUAGUAUACAUUAAAAAUAAUGAAGAAAUUUAGAAAAGAAAAAUGAUUUAACAGACAUCACCAAAUCAAAUCCACGCUUAGUUUGACCAAACACGCUGCAGAAUAAUUAAGGACAUGAUUAAGGACAUGUUUAAAAUUCAAUUUUUUACACCGCACAUUACAUGUUGAUUAUUAUCUCUAUUGUUCGUGCUCAAUAGAAGUGAUCUUACUGAAGUUCUCAAGAGUAAUUUCCAAUAAAGAAAGUUUAUACUCUAGUUAACACUGGCAGGUCAAACAACCAAAAUAUAACUUUCAAAAUACAUUAAGCAUUCCUAAGCUAGAAGCAGGCCUGCUUUGUGGACUAAUGAGAAACAAUAAACUCCGCACAUUUGGUAUAUUCCACUAUUGUGCUUGUUCUUGAUAGAAAGAAUGCAGGACACGCAUAAAUAGUAAGAAAUAACUGGUUUUGUCCAAAAUAGGACGCUCUAUCAUGUUAUUCACACAAGCUUUUCACAAUCCACGUAUAUUUGCAAUGAACGAGAUAAAAUUACAAAGAACCAAUCCAAGUAGAAUUCACCUUGAAGCCCGGUGCCCUCAGAAAUAUCCACUUAGAGAACCGAUUUAUUCUUAUGAACACCCAAGCUCCCCAAAUAAAGACCACACAAGCUGUCCAAAACAGAUUACAGAUACAGGUAGGUCAAACCAUAAGAGAAUAACUACUCCACUGACAAAGAUACAAAUUUGGGACAGAAGAUUCUUAUUCUUAUAUAAUAACUAGAAAAGAUGGGAGACUACCAGAGUACAACACCAAAACAAGUCAUAUACUCUAGAAUCUUGUAUGCUUCAGUAUUCAUGCUCCUCAUGCAAAAACACAUAUAUCCAGCACUAGCAUGAGACAUAUCAAAGGAAAAAUAUCCCCUAAUGUCGUAACAUAACAGAUAUGUAAAAAAUCAUUAACCUUCAGUUUCCACAGGUCACAGCACACCAUAUAUUCAUAGUCGGUCUCCCCUGUAACACCCAUAGAUAUCAAAAGAAUUGAAAAAAGAUGUAAUUGAAAAGAAAAAUAGAUUCACAAUCCAAUCUUCAUGUCUUAAAAACAAAGCAAUAAUCUUAAAAAGUAAAGAACGACUCAUUGGAGUGAUCUGAUAUAUCUGGACUCUCCAAACAUUGUAGAUAUUCAAACUUUAGCCCUCUGCAAAACAGAGGUGUAUAUCUUGAUUAUCCAAGAAAGAGAUGGACAGUAUCAUAAAUAUUGCCAAAGCUCUCAUAAUAUCUAGAUUCAUAAUUCUAGACAUUGCCACAUCACAAGGACACCUAUACAUGAACAAGUACAUUCAAGGCAAGAAAAUGACCGGUGAAAUCCAAGGGUCUGCAGCUUUAACAUCACAGUACAUCAUCUCCCCUGUAACACAAGCCAAGAAAAUUUCACAACAAAAAACCCCAGUUACAAACACAUGGAGUUGGGUAGGAAUGAGAGAAAACUACAUCCACAAAAGACAAGGAAACGUUAAGAAAUCACUGUCAAAGUAGAGAUAACGAAAUGAAAGCUUAACAACGGCAGAUUCUGGUGAUCCAUUAAGCUCUCCCCCCUAAAAACCAAGUCCUUGUAUAUAACCAAUUGCAGAAUCUGUGAGGCAUAACCAUUUUGGAGAGAAGAUUCUUAGCCUUAUGUAUAUAUACCACAAACCGCAGGAAAAUAGAAAACGAAUUAUAGUAGAGGAAAAGACAAAUCAACAAUUAAAGUAUUGAAGUGCCAAACCAGUCCAGAAUGCUUAUAUGCUUCAUACUCUCAUGAGACAGAACCACAAAAACUCAGACACUUGCAAGAAACCAUCAGAGGACCCGAUAUCCCAAAUCCCAAUAUAAAACAGACUGUGGUUAUUUUAAGAUACAUUACGCUCCAGAAAACAGGUUUUAAUACACAAUCCCACCAGGAAUGAAACUCAAUUGGCAACAUCCAAAACAGAAAAUUCAUAUCAGAACUCCAGUCAUCUUUCCAAGUUCCGCAAAACAUUACUAUUUCCUAUUACUCAUAUAGCAAUACCAUAAAUGCAAAACAACAUCGGUCUACCAAGAAUAAUGUUAGUUGUAACAGAGGAAUUCAAGAACAAUUAAUCAAUUGUAACUGCAAAAGUUAAGAUACCGAAUAAUUAAUCACAAAGAAUAAGAAUACAACACAUGAGGAUCAAACAAGAGAAUGUCACAGAUUAUUGCUCCUGCAACACCAAAAAGUAACGAAUGAAGAAAUAUUCAUACUCUCAGCAACACCAAAAAGUAACCAAUCAAGAAAUAUUCAUACUCUUAGCAGUGAAAGAAAUAUUGUAAACAAAGAAUUAUGAUAGAUAUCACCAUAUAAAAACGCUAUGAUGCGAAGAAAGUUAUUAGAUUUGACAGACCGUGCUGCAGAAAAACAUGUUCAAAAUUCAAUUUGUUAAAAGCCCAUAAAUCAAGUUAAUAAAUGACUCAUUGAAGAAACAUCAUCUAUCUAUCGGAUGUUGUUCCUCGUUCUUGUCCAUUGAAUCAAGUGUUCUAGAUAUCUAGAGUUCCGAGUUCCCUGCUUGCAGUACAACGGAUUAAAGGUCUUCAAUUAUCAAAUGAAGUUAUUUUGAAAAAUAACACAAAGAUUGAAUAAAUGAAAUUUCUAGAGAUCACCAGAAAAAUACUAAAGGCUCCAUACUCUGAAGUAGGUUAUUAUUUAAACAAACCAGGCUGCUGAAAAAGCAUGUUCGCAGUUCAAUUAUUUUGACAAACCAUGCUGCAGAAAAGCAUUUUCAAAAUCAAUUUGUAUGUCUUGUAAUCAAAGUCAGAUUUUAAACAAAAUUAACAAAAUCAAUAAAGAUUUAAACAAAAAGGAUUUACUACCUUUGAUAUUUAUGAAGUAAGGAGAAAAAUUUGAGGUUCUAUGCUAUGAAGGAGGUUAAUAUUUUGACAAAACCAAGCUGAAAAAGAAAGUCAUUGAUUCAAUUUUGCUGUCUUGCAUUAAAAUUAAUAAAUAAUCACCAAAAUCAAAACCUCACAAAGAAGCGUGUUUUCAUAGAUAUUUCUCCUGAAACACCAAAGAGACCAAAUCAAAAAAUAUCAACUGAUUCAAUGUAAUACAUAAAUAACAAUGAAGAAAUUUUGAAAACAAAUAAUUUAACAGACAUCACCAAAUCAAAUCCAUGCUUUAGUUUGCAAACCACCCACCACGCUGCAGAAUAAUUAAGAUGUUCAAUAUUCAAUUGUAUGUUUUCCAAUCAAAUUAAAAUAAUUAAGAACCACUAUUAAUUAAAGAAAUUUAAUUUAUCUAGCUGGGGCCUUUCUUGUGCCUUGUAUCAAGAUGUUUCACUGCAAAACUGAUAAACGAUCUCUCGAUUAUCAAAUGAAGAAUUAAUUAUAUAUGAAUUUUAAGAAAUUUUUAUGUAAAAGAAUAAGGGCUCGUGUAAGUAGGAAACAGAAAAUAUCUAUUCUAGUUCUAUCAUCAGCUAUGGGUUCGAAUUUAAGCGAAAUUCUUGAGAACGUUUGCUACCCCGAAAUUUUUAUAUCUUUCCUCAAUGAAAAGGAGGAAAAAAAAAUAGGGUCAAAAGAAAAUGCCAUUUUGGAGUUUUAUCGACAAUUUGCUUGUGUAGGCGGAGAUCCCAUAUUUCCGGAAUCUUUAUGUACGGAAUUACAAAAAAAAAAAUUUCAACAAAGAUGUGAAUUGGGAGGGAUUGGUUUGCAACAAAAGGGACAGAAUUUUCUCAAUUCACAUCGAUUGGGUGUAUUGUGUCGAUUCUUUUGAGUAAUAUAUCUAGAAAUACCCCUAGAUAUGUGAUUGUGUGAAAUUCUGUUGAAAGUAUAUCUUAACAAUCACUGAAUUUAAGCAAUAACAGAUCAAAGAAUCAAGAAACUAGAACACCAAAUCAAGAAAUCAUAAUUGCAUUCUUUAAAUCGACAUAGAAAAAAAAGAUUUACUAGAUAUCACCAAAUCAAAUCUAGAAGCUCCAUGCUAUGAAUAACGUUAUACUCUGACAAACCACGCUGCAGAAAAACAUGUUCAUGAAUAAGAUAUAUUCAUACUCGAGUAGUUAAAGAAAUAUUGAAAACAAAAAGAUUAUGAUAGAUAUCACCAAAUAAAUAUGCCAUGCUCUGCUGUGAAGGAAGUUAACAGUUUGACAGACAGUGCUGCAAAAAAACAUGUUCAAAUUCAAUUCCCGGAGCGAUAAGAACGAAAGGGUUGUGUGGCCACAGCUACAACACUCUUGAUACGAAAGAAACCAUCAUAAAUUAAAUUGAUAAAGGACUCGUUCAAGAAAAAUCAUUUAUCUAUCAAGAGCCGUUCCCCGUUACAUUACGUCUCCUAGAUUUCAAGACUUGAUCUUCGAUUAUCAAAGUAAGAGUUAUAUCGAAAAAUAAUACUCGUUAACUAAUCGUAAAAGAAGAGUCAAGAAAAGUAUGAGAGAGUGUGAAAUAUAUGCUCUCGGGCAUUGAACGGACGAAUUUACUAGAUAGAGAUCACCAGAAAAUUCUCAAGCUUCCAUACUCAGGAGGUUAUUACUUAGACAAACCAAGCUGCAGAAAAAGCAAGUUCACAGUUCAAUUCUUCUCAUAAUCUAAAACUUGAAAUUGAAAACAAUAAAGAAUGAAUCAUUGAAGAAAUUCGAUUCAUCUAUUUGAAGCAAUUCUCCGUUCAUAUCCGUUGUGUCAAGAAUCACAAAAUGUUCACAGUUUUUCGGAAUUCCGCCACCUGCUGCAAAUUAAACAUAUAUCUCCGUUAUCUACUUAUGAAGAACUAGAACCAAUAGUUCGAAAAUAAACAUAAUUUUUGAAAAAAACGAUCCAUAAAAGAAGAGUAGAGAGAACUGUGAAAUUCUUGAUAUCUAUAUUCCAAAAAAGCAUAUCAAAACACCAAUCAAUAAAGAUCUCAUUGAUAGAAGAAGAUCAAAGACCCAAGCGAAAAGAUAAACUGCAGACUCCUUAUGCUUUAUACUCAUGUUCCUGAUACAAAAACAUAAAAACUGCAACACUAUCCGAGCACACCAUCAGAGCACAACUAUCCCAUCCCAACACAAAAUGAAACCAGUUUUAUUAAUACCAAGGUUGAAUGAAAAGUAGGAUGUAUGACCAGUUUUAUUAAUACCAAGGUUGAAUGAAAAGUAGGAUGUAUGACCAUCAAAGCAGUCACAAUUUCUCCAGAAUUGUGUAAACUAUCACGGUCAGAAUACAUCAAAAACCUGAAUGUAAGGAAUCAGAGUAUGAUGGUGUAAGAAAACCUAAGGCUGAACUUCUCAGAUAUAAACAAGAGGAAGAUCAAUAGAACCAGAAUAUGUUUAAAAAAGAUCACUUCUCCUGCAACACGGAAGAAUAAACAACAAAUAAAGAAAUAUAUAUGUCGAUAAAACAAAUUUUUAAAAUGAAAAGAAUUAAAUAGUUAUCACCAUAUCAAAAUGCUAGGUUCCAUGCCAUGAAGCAGAUUAUUAGUGUGACAAACCAUGCUGCAGGAAAACAUGUUCAAAAUUCAUUUCGUAUGUCAUGCAAUUGAAGCCCAGAAAUUAAAAUAAUAAAGAAUGGCUCAAUGAAGAAAUUUGAUUUUUAUCUGCUGUUGUUCUUUUCCGGUGUAUGAAACGUUCUAGAUAAUGAAGAUUUCACAGACUGCAAGAUGGAUAAAUGCAUCGCCAGGUUAUCAAAUGAAGAAUUAUAUCCCAAACAAGUUUUGAUAACCAAUCCAUAAAAGAAGAGACAAGAUAAGUGUUAAAAUUCAUGAUAUCUACAAUCUGAGGGGAACAUAUUAAUAAGCAAACAAUAUGGCCAACUAGUUAAAAAAUCAAGUAACAAAAGAAGGUAUGAACAAGAAUAAACAAACAAACUUCAUAAUCAAGAAAUCAAAAGCAUAUCUUCUCAUGUAACACCAUCAAGAAAUCAAAAUCAUAUCCUCUUAAUACCAAAAAGUAAAUUAACAAUUUAACAAUUCAAGAAACAUUUGUUCUUAGAAUCAAGAAUGUAAGAUUGAAACAAAAAGGAUUUACUAGAUAUCACCAAAUCAAAACUUCAGGCUCUAUGCUGUGAAGGAUAUUAUUAUUUUGACAAACCAUACUGCUGUCUAAACCAACAAAAACAAAUAAUCAACCAGACAAAUCAUGAAACCGAAAGAAUCAAUCAAAAAUGAAUUAACAGUGCAAAACAUGAAGACCAAACAAGAGGAAGAUACAUACAACCAGAAGAAAUCGUAUGUUACAAAAUUACUUUUCCUGCAAGACCAACGAGGGUAAAAAACAGGUCAAGAAAUACAUGAUGAAAUACAUGAUCUCAGAGACGAUAAAGAAUUUUUAAAAAUGAAAAGAAUUUAAUACAUAUAACCAGAAGAAAUCGUAUGUUACAAAAUUACUUUUCCUGCAAGACCUAAGAGGGUAAAAACAGGUCAAGAAAUACAUGAUCUCAAGAGACAAUAAAGAAUUUUAAAAAAUGAAAAGAAUUUAAUACAGAUCACCAAAUCAAAACGCUAGGCUCCAUGCAUCAUUGAAGAAAUUUGAUUUAUCAAUGUGAAGCCAUUCUCUGUACAUAUCCAUUGAGUCAAGAAUCGCAAAAUGUUUAGUUUCUCAAAAUUCCACUUCCAGCAUAAUGGUUAAAUGCAUAUCUCAAGUAUCUAACAUGAUGAUCUCGAUUAUGAAGAACUACAACCAAUAGUUUGAAAAUAAACAUAUCACAACGAUCCAUAUAGGAGUAGAGAGAAUCGUGAAAUCCUUGAUAUUCUAAAAUCUAAUAAAGCAUAUCAAAAUGCCACAACAUAAAGAUCUCCUUGAUAGAAGCAAAUCAAAGACCCAAUCAAAAAGAUAAAGUCCAGACUCACAUUCCUGAUACAAAAACAUGAAACUGUACCACUAGCAGGGCACACAAUCAGAGCAUAACUAUCCCAUCCCAACACAAAUUAACAUGCAAGGGAAAAAACAACCAUUUUUACUUAUCCCUGGGCUGAACGAAGAGUAAGAUGUAUGGCCAGGUUUAUUCCAAGUCUAAUCAGAAGUAUAAAAACCUACAUGAAGAGUAAGAGGAAAGCCCAUCAUAGAAAGAGUAAAUAACAAAAAAAGUAAUGACUAGAAGUAGAAGACUGCUGGCCUGAGAAGGCGGCCUCUGAUAGAACCAGAGUAUGUUUACAGUUCACUUCUCCUGCAACACGAAAGAGUAAAUAAAAAAUAAAGAAAUGUAUGAUGACGAUAAAAGAAAUUUUCAAAAUGAAAAGAAUCUAAUGGAAAUCACCAAAUCAAAAUGAAAACAACAUGUUAAAAAUUCAAUCCGUAUGUCUUGCAAUUGAAGCCCAGAAAUUAAAUUAAUAAAGAAUGGAUCAUUGAAGAAAUUGAUUUUUAUCUAUCUGGAGCUGUCGUUCUUGUCCGGUGUAUAAAAACAUUCUAGAUAUCAAGACUUCACAGCUAUGGAUAAAUGCAUCGCCAGAUUAUCAAAUUAAGAAUUAUAUCCCAAAAAUUAUAGAAACAAGUUAUGAUAAUCAAUCAGUAAAAGGAAGAGUCAGCAGAUGUGUUAAAAUUCAUGAUAUCUACAACCCAGUGCUACGCUCCAUGCAUCAAGCAGGUUUUUAGUGUAACAAACCACGCUGCAGCAAAACAUGUUGAAAAUUCAAUUUGCAUCUCUUGCAGUAAAAACCCAGAAAUAAAUGUAACAAAGAACGAAUCAUUGAAUAAACUGAUUUAUCUAUCUGAAGACAUUCUCCAUUUUUCAUAUGUUGUAUCAAGCCUUUCUAGUUAUCAAGAUUCAAGACUUCUCAGCUCGCUGCAAAACGGCCAAAUGUAUGUCUCGAUUAUAUAACGAAGUUUAUAUCCAAUAAUCCAAAAAUUACAGAAAUAAUUCUUGAUAACGGAUCGUAAAAGAAGAGUGAAAAGAAACAAAUUAAAUAUCGCUUAUAGGAAAACCUGAAAUUAAACAAUCAGGGAGCAAACAAUCUGGCUAAUGGAUCAAGAAAGGAAAGAAAUUAGAAGAAGAUCAAGCAACCUCAUAAGUAUAAUUCGAAAAAUUACACAAAUAAUUCUUUAUAACCAAUGGUAACAACAUAUUCUGGAAAAGUAUGAUAGUGUGAAAUAUAUGCUUCUCAUAUGGAAAUAUUGUAAGAAAAGAAUUUACUAACAAUCACCAUAUCAAUACUCGAGGAUGCAGAAAAACAAUGGCAGGUUAUAUUUUUUGACAAACCAGGCCGCAGAAAAACCAUGGGAGGUUAUUAUUUUGACAAACCAAGCUUCAGAAAAACCACGUUCACAGUUCGAUUCGUCUCAUAGUUAAAGAUCUGGAGAAAUUCAAUUUAUAUCUGAAGCCGUUCUCCGUUCGUAUAUGUUGUGUCAGCAAUCGCAAAACAAUCUGGACUUCCAGACUUCAGCUCGCUGCAAAACGGAUAAAUGCAUGUCUCGAUUAUCCAAUUAUGAACAACCAUAUCCAAUAAACCAAAAAAAUAAACAAACAACAAUUCUUGAAAAACCAAUCCAUGAAAAAAGAGCCAGGAGAACUGUGACAUUCGUGAUAGAAGCAUAUCAAAAUACAAGUCCAAAAUGAACUCCUUGAUAGAAGCAGCACAAAGACUCCAGAAACAAGAACAUAAUAACUGCAACUCUAACAGAGCACAGAUACAGAUGUAGGCAAAAAAUGACCAGUUUUAUUCAUCCGAAGGCUGAACGGAAAGUAAGCGAACCUCUCUGCAUGCCACACAAUUAUAGGCUUACUCCCCUUGUAACACAGAGAAAACUCAAAGGAUCUGACAAAAGUGGAUGACAGCCUGUAGACAGUAGACAGUAUAUGACAAUGACAGCCUGUAGAAAGAUAAUGAUUCAUUGGAACAAUUUUGCAAGAUCGUCAUGCAACCACAUGAAAGACAAUUUAGCUUUCUACUAAUACAGAGAAGUCCCUACACAACAUAAUGAAGAGGAUAUCUUUUAAGGAGGAUCAUCAUCAUAAUAAAUAAACAAUAUCAAAACAGUAAAAGAAGACUAUAGACAGACUCUCCCAUCAAAGUUAUGUCAUCACCAACAUACCAAAAACACACAAAAACUUGAACACAGAAAGAAACACAAAAUCAUGAACACCAGCUUCUACACAAUUAGGACAACAAUUCAGAAACAAAAACAUAUACGUAUGUAAAAGAUAACCAAUUAUAUCCCAAGGACGAAUGAGAAGGUCUGGGCCAAUCAAAUUCAAGCUUGUGAGAAGAGUCAUGAAGCACGAAAGCAUAAAUAAUGCUCACAUCUAAAUUAGAUCGCCAAAUUAAGCCUCACAGAGAUUGAGAAUUUAACUUGUUAUUCAUGUAAUUAGUUGCAGAAGAUAAAUAGUACAGAGCAGAAGCACUCAUCUCCAAUUUCUCAACUUCAGACAGCAAAAUAAACAAGGUACAGUGUAGUAGAGAAAAGGAGACUACUGUUGAACACUUACCCUGUAACAGCACAAAGUUGUCCAAACCAAGCUGCUAAUCCGCAGAUCAUAGUUACGAAGUAAACCCCACAAAGUUGUCUCAAUUUCUCAGAAUUGUGUAACCACUACUCCGUCACAUUACAUGUGAAAAACAUAAAUGUAAUAAAACAGUAGUUUGAUGGAGUAGUGUAACAGAUAGUUGCAAAAUAAAAGAGAAGAUUAGCAUAAUUCUCCAAACCAAGCCGCUGAACAAAAGAUCAUAGUUACAAGAGAGCCCCUCACAAGCUGUCCCAUUUCUCCAGAAAAAUAUGUAAACUAUCACACUAUCAGAUUACAUGCCAAAUACCUAUAUGUAAGAAAACAGUAGUGAUUGAGAAAGAUACACAAAAACAUGUAACAAUUACCCAGUCCAAAUGACACAAACGGGCAACCCGUGCACUAAAGCUCCUUCAUACGCAGGGUUCGGGAAAGGGUCCCACCAUUAUUGGUGUAUUGUACGCUGCCUUAACCUGUUUUUUACACAAGAGGCUGCUUCCAGGACUUGAACACCAAAUAACACAUGCACAAAAAUAUUACACUGUACCACCUAAUUAUAGAAAAAACCAAGUAAGAGAAACAAGAGUAGUAUUAACCAAGUAGUAUUAAAUAACACAUGCACAAAUGAAGCCACUGAUAAAAAGAUCAUAUUUACAAAAACACAUAAAUAACUUACUUAAUUUCUCCAGAUUUGUGUAAACUCAAUUUACAGGUCAGAAAUCUAAAUGUAAGAUAACAGUAGUAUUAAGCAGUCCGCGAACCGUAAGGUUGAACUUCUCAGUAUAAGGGAGUAAAACAAGACUGAACGAUAAAUUUGAGGAUAAUGAAUACUGAACUCAUCUCUCACCCCACUUAAACAGACUUAUCUCUCGCGUGUAACACCCAAGUGACAUAAAGGAGUAAGUCAAAAUGACAGGAUAGUAGAACUUUACAGAGAAUUAAUGAGAUAAAAACUAUUCACAACCAAGAAGAGUGUAUCAAAAUACACCUGAUUGCUUGGUGCUACACAGAACAGUCUCAAAACACACAGCACUGCAGAAAACAGAAAAUGUUUCAAUUCACAAUUUAGUAUAAUCAUGUAGUUUCACAAAACAUUACUACCAUUAUCUAAAACUCAAUCGGCAACAUCUCAAGAGAAAAUUCACAUAUGAACUCAAGGCUCCAUGCUAUGAAAAAAUAACUUCAAUAAUUACGCCGUAUGCCUCUUCCAUCAUAUCACUUGGCUCUAAAAAGAAGACAGAUAAUGGAAAGGAGGAUGAGGGAGGAUAUAAGAGAAGUGUGAGACAAUGGAUAAUGGUAAAAAUUCAUUAAGUUUAAUGAUAUUUUUGUCAAUUCAAGUGUAAAGACGCCAGCUAAUUAUUUUCCUUUGAUUGUGAAAAAUGUUACAAUUCUUUUGCUAGUUUUAAUUUCAAAGAUACAAAGAUUUAAUUGUAAUAUUUUACACUACACUGUUAAAUGGUGAAUAUUAUCAUUUUUUUUUUAUGAACAAGCGUGAAUAUUAUAUCUAUUGUGAUUUCUGAAUAGAAGUUUUAAUCUAACCUUAAUGAAGUUUUAAUAUCAUUGAGUAAUUUCCAAAUAGAAAAUUAUCAAAGUGAUCUGGUACACAUGCUUAUAUAGAUCAACGGUGUUAAUUAAAAAAUACAUUGAUAAAAUUGUAAUUUUUUACACUACACGUUGUCCUUGCUCGUUAGAAGUUUAAACUUAACCUUACUGAAGGUAUCAGAGUGAUUUCCAAAAAAAAAAAUGAUAAAAGUCAUCUGGUACAAAAUUGAUCAUUAGAACAUCAUAAAAGAUAAUUGAAAAUAACAAAAUUGAUCAUUAGAACAUCAUAAACAUUUGCUUAGUUAUGUCCCUAACACCAUGUUCAAUUUCUACUCUAGUUAACACUGGCAGGUCAAACAACAAAGAGAUAACUUUCAAAAUACAUUAAGCAUUCCUAAGCUAGAAGCAGGCCUGCUUUGUGAACUAAGGAGGAACAAUAAACUCUGCACACUUGGUAUAUUCCAUUAUUGUGGUUGUUCUUAACAAAAAGAAUGCAGGACACGCCAUUAGAAGUAAGAAAUAGCUGGUCUAUCUAUAUUUGCAAUGAACGGGAUAAAAUACAAAGAACCAAUCCAAGCAGAAAGCACAAAGUAUGUAUAACCAAGUAGAAAUCACCUUGAAGCCCGGUGCACUCAGAAAUAUCAACUUAGGAGAACCGAUUUAUUCUUAUGCACAUCGUCAAAUGAUAAACAGUAUAGAAAAGCUCCCCAGAUAAAGACCGCCAUCAGGACAAUCCACCCAAGCUGUCCAAAACAGACUACAGGCAGGCCAAACCAUAAGAGAAUAACUACUCCACCAACAAAGAUACAAAUUUGGGACAGAAGAUUCUUAUAAAACUACAAAAGAUGGCAGACUACCAGAGUAUAACACCAAACCAAGCUGUCCAGAAUUUCAUAUCCUCGUUGCGGACAAAAUCAUAUACUCUAGAAUCUUGUAUGCUUCAGUAUUCAUUCUCCUGAUGCGAAAACACAUAUCCAGCACUAGCAUUAGACAUAUCAAAGGAAAAAUAUCCCUAAUGAUGUAACAUAAACAAACACACGGAUAUGUAAAAAAUUACUGAUCAUAUCACACGGCCGGUUUCCACAGGUCACGGCACACCAUACAUUCAUAGUCGGUCUCCCUUGUAACGCCCUCAAUAUCAAUAGAAAUAUUGAAAAUAAAAAUAGAUUCACAAUCCAAUCUGCAUGUCAUAAGAACAAAUCCCAAAUCUUAGUAAUUUUGAUAUAUCUGGACUCGAGUAUUUCCAAACAUUUUAGAUAUCCAAGCUGACAGAAUCAUAAAUAUUGCCGAAGCUCUCCUAAUAUCUAGAUUCAUAUUUCUAAACAUUGGCACAUCACAAUGUCAAAGGACACCUAUUCCAGAACAAGUACAUUCAAGGCAAGAAAAUGACCAGUGAAAUCCAAGGGUCUGCAUGUUCGUAAUAUUAAGGUUAGCUGCAGCUUUAAAAUCACAGUACAGCAUCUCCCCUGUAACACGAGCUAAGAAAAUUUCACAACAAAAAACCCCAUUUACAGACACAGGGAGUCGGGGUAGGAAUGAGAAAACUAAAUCCACAAAAAGACAAGGAAAACGUGAAGAAGAAAUCUAACUGUCAAAGUAGAAAUAACGAAAUGAAAGCUUAACAACGGCAGCCAAUUGCAGAUUCUGGUGCUCCAUUAAGCUCCCCCCUAAACCAAGUCCUUGCUCCAAUUGCAGAAUCUGUGAGGCAUAACCUUUUUGGAGAGAAGAUUCUUAUCCUCAUGUAUAUAUACCACAAACCGCAGGAAAAUAGAAAACGAAUUAUGAUAGAGGAAGAGACAAAUCAACAAUUAAAGUGCCAAACCAGUCCAGAAUUCUUAUAUGCUUCAUACUCUCAUGAGACAGAACCACAAAAACUCAGACACUUGCAAGAAACCAUCAGAGGACCUGCUAUCCCAAAUCCCAAUAUAAAAACACGGCUAGAAAAUUACCAGUUUUAUCUCAAGGCUGAACAGAACCUUGCUUCGUGCACAUUUAUAGGAUUUUCCUCUAACACUCACAGAAAACUCAAAAAGUAGAUGCUGAUUAUCAAACUAUAGGGAGUAUAUGAAACAGCCUGCAGAGGACGUUGAAUCAGGGUGUGCAAAAAUAAACCUGUACACUUUAAUAAUACACAGACUGGUUAUUUUAAGAUAUAUUAUGCUCCAGAAAACAGGUUUUAAUUCACAAUCCACCAGAAAUGAAUAUCAUGUAUGGAGCUCUGCAAAACAUCACCGUUUUAUGAAACUCAACUGGCAACAUCCAAAACAGAAAAUUCAUAGCAGAACUCCAGUCAUCUUUCCAAGUUCAGCAAAACAUUACUAUUUCCUAUUACUCAAAUAGCAAUACCAUAAAUGCAAAACAACAUCUGUCUACCAAGAAUAAUGUUAGUUGUAACAGGAAUUCAAGAACAAUCAAAAUUGGACUGCAAAAGUUAAAGAUAACGAAUAAUUAAUCACAAAGAAUAAGAAUACUUCACAUGAGGAUCAAACAAGAGAAUGUCACAGAUUAUUGCUCCUGCAACACCAGAGAGCAACGAAUCAAGAAAUAUUCAUACUCUCAGCAACACCAAAAAGUAACCAAUCAAGAAAUAUUCAUACUCUUAGCAGUGAAAGAAAUAUCAUAAAAAAACAGAUUAUGAUAAUAUCACCAUAUAAAAACCCUAUGAUGCGAAGAAAGUUAUUAGAUUUGACAGACCGUGCUGCAGAAAAACAUGUUCAAAAUUCAAUUUGUUCAUAGCCCAGAAAUCAAGUUAAUAAAGGACUCAUUAUCAUUUAUCUUUCAAACACCGUUCCCCCGUUCCUGUCCGUUGAAUCAAGUGUUAUAGAUAUCAAGACUUCCCUGCUCGCAGUACAACGGAUAAACGGAUCUUCUUCUUUUUUUUUUUUUUUUUUUUGAAGUGAAACAUACUUUCAAAAAAACAAAGCUGGAACACAGCCAUCAAACCCACAAUGAUUAUUUCGAUUAUCAACGGAUCUUCAAUUAUCAAAUGAAGAGUUAAAUUGAAAAAUAACACAAAGAUUGAAUAGAUGAAUUUUCUAGAGAUCACCGGGAAAAUACUCAAGGCUCCAUACUACGAAGGAGGUUAUUAUUUAGACAAACCAGGAUGCAGAAAAAGCAUGUUCGCAGUUCAUUUAUUUCGACAAACCACGCUGCAGAAAAGCAUUUUCAAAAUCAAUUUGUAUGUCUUGUAAUCAAAGUCAGAUUAUAAACAAUAAAAAUGGCUCAUUGAAGAAAUUUGAUUUAUCUUGAACCAUUCCCCGUACUUAUAUCUUUGAACCAAGAAUAUGUUGACCUCAGCUGCAAAAUCAAUAAAGAUUUAAACAAAAAGGAUUCACUAUCUUUCAUAUUUAUGAACCAAGGAGAAAAGGUUCUAUGCUAUGUAGGAGGUUAAUUUUUGACAAAACCAAGCUGAAAAAGGAAGUCAUUGAUGUCUUGCAUUAAAAUUAAUAAACAAUAAUCACCAAAAUCAAAACCUCAUAAACAUGAAANAAACAAUGAUCACCAAAAUCAAAACCUCAUAAACAUGAAACCAGAAAGGAAAAAGAAUACAAAACAUGAAGAUCAAAUAAGAGCAAGAAAGAAAGAACCAGAAGAAAUCGUGUUUUCAUAGAUAUUUCUCCUGAAACACCAAAAAGAUCACCAAAUCAAAAAAUCAACUGAAACUGAUUUAAUAAUACAUAAAAAACAAUGAAGAAAUUUUGAAAACAAAAAUAAUUUAACAGACAUCACCAAAUCAAAUCCAUGCUUAGUUUGCAAACUACCCACCACGCUGCAGAAUAAUUAAGAAUAUGUUCAAUAUUCAAAUUGUAUGCUUUCCAAUCAAAUUAAAAUAAUUAAUUAUCAACUAAAGAAAUUUGAUUUAUCUAACUGGAGCCUUUCUUGUACCUUGUAUCAAGAGGUUUCACUGCAAAACCGAUAAAUGAUCUCUCGAUUAUCAAAAUGAAUAAUUAAUUAUAUAAAAAAUUUAAGAAUUUUAAGAAAUUUUUAUGUAAAAGAAGAGUCGAGAGAAGUGUGAUUGUGUGAAAAUGUUGGAAAGUAUAUCUUAACAAUCACUGAAAUUAAGUAAUCACAGAUCAAAGAAACAAGAAAGUAAAACACCAAAUCAAGCAUUCUCUGAAUUGACAUAGAAAGAUAGAACCAAAAAGAUUUACUAGAUAUCACCAAAUCAAAUCUAGAGGCUCCAUGCUAUGAAUAAAGAACAUUUUUAAUACUCUGACAAACCACGCUGCAGAAAUGGAUAAAGGACUCAUUGAAGAAAAAUAAUUAUCUAUCAAGAGCAGUACAACGGAUAAAUGGAUCUUCGAUUAUCAAAGAAGAGUUAUAUCGAAAAAUAAUACUCAUUAACUAAUCGUAAAAGAAGAUUCAAGAAAAGUACGAGAGUGUGAAAUAUAUCCUCUCAGAAGCAUUGAACGGAAAAUUUACUAGAUAGAGAUCACCAGAAAAUUCUCAAGCCUCCAUACUCAGGAGGUUAAUAAUUAGACAAACCAAGCUGCAGAAAAAGCAAGAUCACGGUUCAAUUCUUCUCAUAAUCUAAAACUUGAAAUUAAAAACAAUAAAGAAUGAAUCAUUGAAGAAAUUCGAUUUAUCUAUUUGAAGCCAAUCUCCAUUCAUAUCCGUUGUGUAAAGAAUCACAAAAUGUUUAUAGUUUUUCCGGAUUCCGCCACCUGCUGCAAAUUAAACAUAUAUCUCCAUUAUCUACUUAUGAUAGAAGAAGAUCAAAAGACCCAAGCGAAAAGAUAAACUGCAGACUCCUGAUACAACAUUAUAAAAACUGCAACACUAUCCCAUCACACCAUCAGAGCACAACUAUCCCAUCACACCAUCAGAGCACAACUAUCCCAUCCCAACACAAAAUGAAACCAGUUUUAUUACCAAGGUUGAGUGAAAAGUAGGAUGUAUGACCAGCUUUAUUCCAAGUCUGAACGGAAGUAAUAAACCUAAAUGACAGAUUACAUCAAAGCAGUCACAAUUUCUCCAGAAUUGUGUAAACUAUCACGGUCAGAAUACAUCAAAAACCUGAAUGUAAGGAAAUCAGAGUAAGGCUGAACUUCUAAGAUAUAAACAAGAGGAAGAUCGAUAGAACCAGAAUAUGUUUAAAAAAGAUCACACUUCUCCUGCGACACGGAAGAAUAAACAACAAAUAAAGAUAUAUAUAUGUUGAUAAAAGAAAUUUUUAAAAUGAAAAGAAUUAAAUAGUUAUCACCAAAUCAAAAUGCUAGGUUCCAUGCCACGAAGCAGGUUAUUAGUGUGACAAACCAUGCUGCAGGAAAACAUGUUCAAAAUUCAAUUCGUAUGUCUUGCAAUUGAAGCCCAGAAAUUAAAAUAAUAAACAAUGGCUCAAUGAAGAAAUUUGAUUUUUAUCUAUCGGGGCUGUUGUUCUUUUCCGGUGUAUGAAACGUUCUAGAUAAUGAAGAUUUCACAGACUGCAAAAGAUGGAUAAAUGCAUGUCACAGAGCAAACAAUAUGGCCACCUAGUUAAAAAAUCAAGUAACAAAAGAAGGUAUGAACAAGAAUAAACAAACAAACCUCAUAAUCAAGAAAUCAAAAGCAUAUCUUCUCAUGUAACACCAUCAAGAAAUCAAAAUCAUAUCCUCUUAAUACCAGGAAGUAAAUUAACAAUUUAACAUUCAAGAAACAUUUGUUCUUAGAAUCAACAAUGUAAGAUUGAAACAAAAAGGAUUUACUAGAUAUCACCAAAUCAAAACUUCAGGCUCUAUGCUGUGAAGGAUAUUAUUAUUUUGACAAACCAAACUGCAGUCUAAACCAACAAAAACAAAUAAUCAACCAGACAAAUCAUGAAACCGAAAGAAUCAAUCAAAAAUGAAUAAAGAAUGCAAAACAUGAAGACCAAACAAGAGGAAGAUACAUAUCACUAGAAGAAGUCGUAUGUUACAAAAUUACUUUUCCUGCAAGACCAAAGAGGGUAAAAACAGGUCAAGAAAUACAUGAUCUCAGAGAAUAAAGAAUUUUAAAAAAUGAAAAGAAUUUAUUACAGAUCACCAAAUCAAAACGCUAGGCUCCAUGCAUCAAGCAGGUAAUAGUUUAACAAACCACGCUGCAAGAAAACAUGUUGAAAAUUCAAUUUGCAUGUCUUGCAGUAAAAACCCAGAAAUUAAAGUAAUAAAGAACAAAUCAUUGAAUAAAUUGAUUUAUCUAUCUGGAGCCAUUCCGUAUGUUGUAUCAAGCCGUUCUAGUUAAUAAGACUUCUCAGCUUGCUGCAAAAUGGCCAAAUGUAUGUCGAUUAUCUAAUGAAGUUCAUGAUUCAAUUUUUAUGUAUAGCAUUAAAAUCAAUAAAGAACAAACACCAAGAUUGAAACUUCACAAACAUGAACCAGAAAUAAGAACACAAAAUUAUUGGAAGAAAGAUAGAACCAGAGUAAAGCGUGUUUAUUUCUCCUGAAAAACCAAAGAGAUUACCGAAUCAUAAAAAUAUUAUCUGAUUUAAUAGUAUACAUUAAAAAUAAUGAAGAAAUUUUGAAAAGAAAACUGAUUUAACAGACAUCACCAAAUCAGAUCCACGCUUAGUUUGACAAACCACCACGCUGCAGAAUAAAUUAAGAACAUGUUUAAAAUUCAAUUUGUAUGCCUUCCAAUCAAAUCAAAAUUAUUAAGAACUUAUUAAAGAAAUUUGAUUUAUCUAGCUGGAGCCGUUCUUGUCCCUUGUAUCAACUUAUCUAGAGGUUUCACUGCAAAACCGAUAAAUGAUCUCUCGAUAAGAAAUACUUUUAUAAAAAAUUUAAGAAAAUAAUAGUUAUCAAAUAAUUUAAAAUGAUUUUUUAUAUAAAUUUUUUUAAAAACUUUAAUGUAAAAGAAGAGUCAAGAGAAGUGUGAUUGUGUGAAGUUCUUGAUUCUUGACUGUUGUCUGUUAUAUCCCAACGAUCUCGUUUACAACAAACCCUGGAAUAAAGCAAUCACAGAGCAAAGAAUCAAGAAAGUGGAACACCAAAUCAAUCAUAAUUGCAUUCUCCAAAUUGACAAAGAAAGAUAGAACCAAAAACCCUUGCUAUGAAUAAAGAACGAAUCAUGGAUGAAAUUUAAUUUAUUCUUCUCUGUUCUUAUCCGUUGAAUCAACAAUUGCUGCAAAAAAACCAAUGAACACGUAUCUAGAUGAUCCAAAUAUGAAGAACUAUAUCCAAUAAUCAAAUAAUUAAUCAAAUUAAUCUUGAUAACCGAUAAUCCAUUGAGCGAGCGAUUUCUGUGUUCGCCGUUCGCAUAUGAAUAGCUAGCAAAACGAUCCAGAUUCCAAUCUUAAGAUCGCUGCAAACCGAUAAACACAUAUCCAUGUUAUUCAAUUAUGAACAACUAUAUCCAAUAAUCAAAUAAUUAAUCAAAUAUUCUUAAUAACCGAUGAUCCAUAAACUAGCGAUAGAUCGAGCGAUUUUGACGUUCUUCGUUCUCAUAUGAAUAGCAAAACCGAUGAUCCAGAUUCCAAACUUACAAUCGCUGCAAAACUGAUAAACACAUAUAUCGAUUAUUCAAUUAUGAAGAAUCAUAUCCAAUAAUCCAAAAACUAUACAACAAAUAAUUCUCGAUAAACGAUGAUCCAUCAAAACAAGUGUGAAAUUCUUCAUAUCUUAAAUCCGAAAAACGCAAAUCCAUAUCGAUCGAUCGAUCAACACGCAAAACUUUAUAAUCGAGAAAUCAAAAUCAUGAAUCAAAAGUAGAAUCGAGAAAUCAAAAUCAUGAAUCAAAAGUUGAACAGAAAAGAAGAAGAAAGGAGAAAGAGAGAACAAACGAGAGGAACGUAGAACGCGCUAUUUCGAGGCACUUUGGAAAGAGGGAACUUAUGAGGCUUAUAUAGAGGGUGGGGUCAAGUUUGACGGCUACGAUAACGCGUGUGGUGGAAACUUGGACGGUUAUGAUUGAACUAAAAUAAAACGGUUAACGCGUUUCCUUUCUAAAUAAGGCGGUGUGAAACACGCUUGAUGAUAAGAUUUAGUAGGGAGUCGUUGUUGGUUUGCGUGUACCGACUUAAAACUAAAGCUAUCUCUCUAAGAUAUAUAAAACGAUAAAAACUCCAAAAAUAAACAUUAUCCUUGGGUUAAAUUUAUUUUUACCUCCAUUAAAUAUAACAACUUCUAUUUUUAAUUCUUCACAAAAAAUAUUCCAAAUUCCAUUUUAUUUUUUAUUUUUUUGAUAGUAGUAUAAUAAUAACUAUAAAUUUAGGGGAAAUUUGUUCCCCUUCCCUGAGGUUGGGGAGAAACAACACUAAAACCCUUUUAGUUUUCAACUGAAUGCAAAACUCUCGUAAAUUUUAUUAAAAGUGACAAAUAUCUUCUUUACCAUUAACAUUGUUAGUUGUCUGUUACUUCCACUUUCAUUCAGCUUCAACAUCCAUUCUCUCUCUCUCUCUCUCUCUCUCUCUCUCUCUCUCUCUCUCUCUCUCUCUCGUGAGCUCUUGAUGUUGCUUCAUUUCUUGCUUGAAAACUUCAUUGCUUUUAAGUAAAUUUUCUUCUCUGAUUCUUGCUUCCUCUAGCUUAGCUUCUGCAGAUGACUUGUAUUCCAGUAGUAGUAGCUUCUAUUCAAGAACUUCUUUUCUAAGCUGCUUGUUUUCCUUUUCCAAUGCAACAUUCCUUUGCAAUAAAUCCAGUUCAGUAGAGGCUGACUUGAAAUUAAUCUUAUUCAGCCAAGUUAAGUCCAAUUCCUUGGGAUGCACACCAAUAGGAAUAAAAUCAGUAGCAUUCCUCUCUCUUAAGCAUAAAGGAUUUUGCACCCAAGUUCUUAGAACUUUAACUGCUUGCAAAUUCUUAUAAACUCCUUUCAGCCAAUCUUGAAGCUUGUUUUGAGCAUAGUCUUGAGCAUCAAGACAUGUUCUCUGAAGCUCACUCAAGACAAAGUCUACUCUCUCUUUCAGUCUCUUCCAUUCCUUCUCAUAACUGUCCUUAUGCACCAGAUUAGUCUUUGCUAGAACCAAGUUGUUCAACUCUUGAAAUAUGUUCUCACACACAUCUGCUAAAAUAGAAGAAUCUAGAAACAGGGUGGAUGGAGAAGGGACAUUUGUUUUGGCAGGAGCACAAGGUUGAAUAGCUUGGUUGGAAGAUGAAGGUUGGUCAUUUGUGGAGUUAUUGGUUGGAAUAUUGAUCUCAGAAGUUUGACUAGAAAUAGAAGUUAUGACCACAGAAGAUGAGUUAAAUACAUCAACUUCAUCAUCAAAACCUUCUGAUGUGAUCAUAAAAUCAGGUUCAUUGAAAUUUUCAGGAAUAGAAAGAGACUCAAUAUAAUCAGAGACAUUUUGUUCAGGAACAGUUUGUUCAAGAACAGAGACAUCUGGUAAGGUAGUUGAGGCCAUUUGUACACUUGGUGCAUGUUGUUGGGGGCUUUCUAAAGCAAAUUCAUCAGAAGCUACCUCAUAGGCUUUUUCUAGGUUUGACCCACACCUGGUAAUUCACCAGAACAGUGAUUGACCAGAUUCUCUAAGACAGAUGUUUCUGAUGUUUGGUUUGUUGAAGAGGGAUGAGAUGAAGAUUCAAUUAUGUUGACAUGCUUAGGCACUUCUGAUUCAUUAACCACAUCUGCAUCAGCACGAACAAAACUCAAAGGUUUGAUCAUUGGUGGUUGGAAAGGGUGAUCAGCAUGCAGUCUUUCACAGACUUUGUUUCUCAUCUCAAACAUUUCUCCUAUCUUAUUGAGAAUAAAAGGAUAAACAGGAUCAUAGGGAAUCUUGUCAGCAGGCUCUUUGUGAAUUUUGGUGGUUGGUGAAGGGCCUUUGUUGAUAGUUGUGUAGAUUCUGCCUAGAGGGACAUUAUCAAGGUCUGAGGAAGUUGAGGAGGUUGAAAUUGAUGUUGAAUGAGAGGUUGAGGUUGUACUAGAUUUUAUAUUUAUGAUUUCAGUAGAGUGUAGAGAAUCAGGAUUACCUUUUGAAGCUUCUGGGAAAACAGCUUCUGAACAACCAGCAUUCUCCUCCUAAACACCUUCAGCAGAUGCCAUCAACAAACUUCCAGCUUCAAAUGCCACAAGUUCUUGCACAACUACAGCAGCUUUGAUAACUUCCUGAGCAUCUGCACCAACAUCUUCUCUUACAAUGUUGGAUGCAUGGACUUCAAUCUCCUGUGCUAACUCCAACACCUUCUGAAGUGUAGCAGCUGCAAUGUUAUCUUCCUCUUCCAUCACAUGAUCUGCUACCUUCAGUUUCCUGAUAGCUUGCCUUCUCUUCUUCUUUGGAAUUGAAGGUUGGUCAGGAGCAGAUUGGGAAGAAGUUGCAGCAGGUUGACCACUUCUAGUUCUCUUGGUUUAUCAGCCUCCAGAUCUUCAACGUCUUCUUGGAUAGUUGGUAUAGUAGGACCAACUAUGUCUUCCUGAACUAUAGCUCUUUCCUUCUUAGCUCUCUUGGCUUUCUUUGCAGUCUGUUCAGGAGCAUCAUCCAAAUACUCUUCUUUGGUGAGUGCUUUCCUCUUGGUCUUUCUGCUCUUUGCUACUGGUAGGGGACCACCAUACAUGGUUCCAGGAACAUCUUCAAGCCUUAUCUUCUUACCAGUCACAGCAAAGUGAUCUUUGAUAAAGUUCAUCUGAACAUCAAGAGAAUCUUGUUUGCAGAUAGGAGGAAAGUCUUCCAUCAUAAUGGACAUUGCAUCAAAUUCCUUCAAAUCUGUGCUCAGCUUUUUAUAAGGAUCCUUUGCAAUCAAGCUCAUGUUCCUGAGUGUCUUCCCAUUGAUGACCUUGCCUGUUUCUGUAUUAAGUUGCUCAUCAAUGAAGAAGUUGAUAUCCUUCAGAGCUUUCAGAAUCCCUCCUUGAUGAAGAAUCUCUAAAAUAAGCCUUCCAUAGGGAACCCAGCAUCUUUUGUUUUCUUGGCUUUCCCUGAGCUCUUUAAUCAUAUGCUUGAAGAUGUAUCUGGGCACAUUUGCUUUUUCCUUCGUUAUGAAGAAAUGAGGGAAAAUUCUAUGCUCCAAAGAGGGUUGAUCACUACCACCACCUUUUGGUAGAAGAUUUUCAUUCUGAAUCUUCAGAAUCAUCUUCUUCUCCAUGCUCAAAUCACUGUAAGCACCUUUCUUUGUGUUGUUGAACAUGGACUUGUGGACUACUUCAUUCCAAGGGCUAGUCUUGUUGUUACCUACACCACCUUUGAAACUUACUUUAGAAGCUCUAAUGAUAACAAAGGCAAUAGCAUCUUCAGAGAUGAAAACAGGGACGCCCAUGAUGCUUGACCUGAUUUCUGUCCAUGUAAAUGGUUCCAAACCCAUUUCUUCUUGUGAUUUUCCUUCCAGGGUAGGAUCAAUCAAAACUUUCUCUAUUUCUUCCAGCAGAGCAGCCUUCAUAUCGUAAACAUGCGCUCUGACCCAGAAGUGCCUGACAAGGGUCUUGUAUGUUGGGCCAUUCUACAUUUUGAAGUAUUCCAUAAGACCUUGAGCUUCGUAGUUGCCUCUGAUGUCACACCCAUGGUAUGCUAAUGAAAUAAAAUCCACCGGAUUCUCAAUUUGAAUCUUAAGAUGCCAUUCUUCUAAGGACAUGGUCCUCCCUUUGAUUUCAUACGCAGGUGCUUCUUGCAUGCUUGUUGACGUUUCAAGAACUGAACUUGAUGACGCCAUUGAUGAGUAUGAAGAUUUAGGGUUCUAGGGAUUUGAAUGAGGAAGAAUGCGUUUUACUUCGCAAAGAAUCAGUGAGAAAUAGAAAAUGUAGGUUGUGAAGUGAGUAGUGUGUGAUUUGUCUAAUUGUUUUGAGUAAAAACGUUUGCAAUUCAGAAAAGGGACAAACAAACACAUCAUUAAUGACAUAGGGGGCGCGAGAUAGUACAUUCAAAGCUAAAAAUCAUCAUUGCCCUCUUAAGUCAUACACCAAUACAAAUAAGCCACGUCAGAAGUUUUUCAAAGUAACUUCUAAGUUAGUGGGACAGGUGUUACUAAAAAGUAACUUCCAACAUUUCCACUAAUACUACUUGUUCAGGAGCAAAGAAUUCAGCUACUGAAGUUAAAGUGCUGACGUCAUCUUCAGAAGCACAUUUUCCUCAGAAUCUCAGUUAAGAGCUUCUGAUGGACCAUAGCUUCUGAACAGACUUCAGGACCAAACUUCUAGUUCAUGAGCAAGCAAAUUUAAUCAGACACAAAGUGCAUGUUCAAGGUUUUCUUAAUAAAAUCAAAUCUUUCCACAGAUAAAGGCUUAGUAAAUAUACCAGUCCAUUGAUGUUCAGUAUCCAUGAAUUAUAUUGUAUAUCUAAGAUUCCUUUUUGAACAUAGUCUCUAAUAAAGUGGUGUUUGAUAUCAAUAUGCUUGGCUAUUGAAUGUAGAAUAGGAUUCUUUGACAAACAAAUAGCAGCAGUAUUAUCACAAUAAAUGGGAAUACUGUUAGCAUUUAUCUGAUAGUCUUCCAACUGAUGUUUCAUCCAAAGCAGUUGUGUACAACAACUUGCAGCUAAGAUGUAUUCUGUAAUGCCCUAUUUCUAUUAAAGCGAUAAAACACACGAAUAAAAUAAAUAUUCAAGAAAUAGACACUACGUCUUCAACAAAAACCAAACAUGCAUGCAUAUAAAAAUCCUCAACAGUCGCAGCGGAUAUAAAUCAUACAUCUCCAAAGUAUACAUGCCAUGAGAUCAAAAUACAUCAUCAUAUAAAUUCUCCAAAUCCCGACAAAUGGGCAAAUCUCCACAACAUAAAUAAAUCCAGAAUAAUCAAUCUAGAAUAAUCAUAAAGACAGACAUCCUAGAUCAGAGCCUACCCUAAGACUCAAAGGAAACGAUAACGGAGAUAGCUCCCGCUAUCCAAGCAAUCAUCAAGAAACUCACCAAAAGCAAACUAGUCAUGUACUUUGUCUACUCAUCCAUACAGACAGGUAGGCGGUCCAUCACAGAUCCACUGGAGGUAAGCUUCACAUCAAUCAUAAUCAACAUAAAUAAACAUAGGCAUUCAAGGAUUCAUGCAUAACACAUAUACAUAAUCACCCCUCCUAGAAUACUAGCAUCAUAUGAUUAUUAUCCCCCAUCACAUACAUUCCAAGCUAUCAAAAUACUAACAUAGCAUAGCAACAUAUUCAAUCACUAAUCAAGUCAUCGACAUAAUCUCAUCAUUCAUCAACAACAAUCAAGAAAGGAUUAAUCACAUUAUUCUUCAUUUAGCAUACUAAGCUCAACAAUACAUUUCAUCAUUUCAAAGUUAUAAGCAAGUAAUCAUCAUUAUCAAAGGAAUCAUCACAUCAUAUAUAUGCACAUAUACAAUUCUCACCUCAUCACUGUCACCAAAAUAAUUAUCAUCAAAUACAUUCACCAAGUGUAUAAGCACGAGCAAGUAAGAUAUGCAAUUAAAGCAUAAUUCAAUUAUUCACAACCGUCAACAAAAUCCAUCAAUGUACAUAUACACCAAUUCACAUAUUCAUAACAUUCACCGAAUUCCACCAAUGCACAAAUUCAUCAAGUCACAUAUUCAAUUAUGACACGCCUCAUCAAUUACUAUAAUGCAUGCAAUGUUCUAGACUCUUCUAGAUGCAUGCGGUACCGUCAACAACAACGUCUAGGUCGUCACCCCAGGAUGCCAACUGCACAUCAUAUGUAAGAGUACACCUCCUCUUAUGAACAACUAUGUAAAAGUACACCUCUUUUUACAUUUCUCAUAUGACUAUGAUGCAUGGACAUACAAGCAAAGACUCAAUAAUGCAAAAGCAUACAUUCACCAACAACAAUGUAAAAGUACACCUCCAUUUACAUUGAUCAACUUCAACAACAAUUGCAUUAUCAAUUAUUUACGUCCACACAAUCAAUCAAGUCAUAAUUCAAUUAAGAGUCAUCACCACACCAUCACUUAACAUAUAUGCAUUCACCGAAAAUAUCACACUCAAUUAACAUAUAUAUAUUUUAACGCCCGUUUUGAUUAUUUAAUUAUGUUGUUGAGUUUAGAAUAUAUUUAUAUGAUUUGUGUGAUUUAUGUGAUUUAAUGAGGUGUUGUGACUUAUUUUAUUGUUUAAUAAAAUAAGAUUUGAAAAUAAAAUAAAUAUUGAGUUGAGGGGUUGUUUUGAGAUUUUAGAGAGUUUUGUGGGUAAAAGAGGAAUAAAAUAAAAUAGAUGGGAAGAGAUAUAAAUAGGUGAGGGUUAGGUUUAGAAAAGUUUUUUUAACGUACGAUCAAUUUUGGAGAAAAGGGAUAAAAGUCAAGAGAAGAUAAGAGGACCAAAGAGAGGCUGCGAUUUCGAUUUUCUAAGGUAAGGGUGAGACUAACAUUCAAUCUUAUUAAAUCUGUAAUUCUGAUGGUUGUAUUUAACAAGUGUAGGAUUGUUUUAGAGAAGUUGGAAAUUAGGGUUAAAGUGAGAAAUUGAUGAUUUAUUGAUGUAGAAUUGUAGAAUUGAUGUAGAAAGUGUUUACAGACCUUAGAUAAUCCAUAGGAUGAAAUCUGGAAUCAAUGUUAAGCUUAAAACCAUGCCUUUAGGUGGAUUUUCGUGAAAAUCUGCAUUCUGCCCGAGCCAACAUUCAUCGCUCGCCUCCCGAGUGAUGAUCCUCGCCCUCGCGAGGGAUGAUCUUCAUCGCUCGCCUCGCGAGUAACACCUUGCAACUCGCCAUAGCGAGCAGAUCACUCGCCAUAGCGAGUAUGACCAGUGAGAAACCUGAUUUGUGAGUUAACUCCUUAAGUCGAACUUUAGAUGUUUUUGAGUGCCUGAAUAUGUAUAAUAAUGAUUAGGCAAGUUUUUAGAUUGAGAUUGAACCUACGAAAGUUUAAAAAUGGAUUUUUGGGUGAAAAAUGUCAAAUUCCCGAGAGCACCCAGUUUCUUGUUUGCCAAGGUGAGUCGCUUACUCGCCAAGGCGAAUGCCAUUUUCCUGAACUCGCCAUAGCAAGUAGAGGCUCUCGCCUCGCGAGCCCUUGUGAGACAGAACUCCUUGUUAGGUUAAAUGUGACCUUUAUCGCACGAGUUGAUGUGAGUUGAUCACGGGGGUAAGAAACUAAGUUGCUUAUCUUACUGUUGUUGUUUCAGUGAGCCUGAAUUAUAUGAUUUGAUGUUGUUAAUAAUGUGAUAUAAAUGUAUAUGCAUUACAAGAAUUAUAUAUGAUGUUUGAGAUGUUGUUGAUUUGCAUUUGAUAUUGUUAUAUCAUGAACCGUUUUAUGUACUGCCUAUGUUGUUGUUUGUUUAUUAACUAAGCUGCAUGAGUCGGUCUAAGAUGAAAGAUGUUGUUCCAAAUUAUUGGAUUUAUAUAAGAGGUCGUUUUUUCUAAGAUGUUAAGUUGUUGAGUCCAUGCAUACUCAUUCAUUGUUGGGGGCUUGAUGCCCUGGAGCCUUCGCAGAGUUUUGGCGCUUUCAAAUUGUUGUAUAGUCUUGCCAUUCUUUAAGUCUUCACUCCUUUAUAUAGAGGUGUGAAAGAGACGUUGUGAAUUGCCAACACAUCAAAAUAGAGUCGUUUGAAGCUUUGAUCAAUCACUAAAGAUCUUUUACCUAAUAAGGUUAUUGUCCUAUGAAGGAUCAAUUUCAAAUCCAUUCCCAGUAUGUAGGAACAUUGUUGGAGGCAGAGCUGUUAUCCUUGUCUUGUGGCAGAGACAAAAACUGAGUAGUGGAGAUAGUGGUUGUACAAUUCGUACAAUUGUACUAUGUCAAUGCUCUUCAAAGAACAAGCAUCUAAUGCUUUCAAAUCCUUUCAAAAUAGCUGUUGCUUCACUCCUGCGGUCUUUUGCAAUGCUUGGACGAGAUUGAACCAUUGAACAACCUUUGAAGCUUUAAGUCUUGCAUCUCUUGAUGAACUUCAGCUUCUGGUGAUCUUGCUUCUGAUGAGAUGCUUUUGAUGAACUUGCUUCUAAUAACGUCAUCACUUCAGAAGCACUUUGACUUCAGGCACACUUCUCUUCAGAUGCUUCAAGCUUCCUUUUUGUUGAUUCCUUUGCUCUCUUUUGUUCUUCCAGAACCUAAUAAUGAUAUCAAAAUUUUCUCUAUGGUCAUGUACACUUGAAAAAAUAUUAUUAUAUCUAAUUGACAACUUUUAAUACCUUGUUAUCAUCAAAACUCUCAAAGGGUAAUGUUAAACACAUUUAUUUCCAACAUGGAAUACCACAUCAAAAUCCAAUUUCAUCACUAAAUCCCAAUAUUAAAGCUUCUAAAAUUAAAGCUUAUUAUGAAACUCACCUCAAAUGCAACUUCCAUUUAUACAAGAAGCUUCAAAGCUCUCUGUCUCUUUUAAAGCUACUGCUCAAGCUUCCUUCAAUUCCUUACCUUCAGUUCUUGCUUCUAAACACCAAUAUAAGAUACAACAUGUUGAGGCAAAAUCCCUAAUUAAUUUUAAAGAUAAUAAACCAUUAUGAUUAAAGAAUUAAUGGACUUUGAUUUAUUCAUUGGUAUUUAACUUGUUCUCUUGAGUGUUUUACUAAGACAGGAACAAGGUUUAAAUCAUACUAAGAUUCAAGAAAUCAAAGGACAUUGGAAUUCAUGAUCUAACACUGAUGUCAGAAAGUUAGAUCAGAAUGUUGCUCAGAGAUCAGAAUGUUCAAGCAGAGAUCAGAAAAUUGUUCUUAUACAAGUCAAGAAUCUCAAGAACAUUGAUCAAGAUCAUGCAAGGCACAUGUGAUAUGGAUAAAUUUCCAGGAAGGUACAUUUGCAUGGAUCAAUCAAGCAACAAAGGCAUAUACAAAGAUUAUGUCAAAAAGGAUACUCAAUGUUCAUUUAAGACUAUGAACAUUGAAGUACUGGGAAUAUUCCAAAAGGGAAUAUCAUCCUAGAUGUUGAAGUCACUGCUCUUCAUUGUUGUUUCAUUAUUAGGAUUUGAUUACAUCAAAUGGUAGUCUUACAAAUCAUCCUAAGUGAAACAAAAGGAACAUUCUGAUGGUCAGAAUGUUCAGCUCUGCACAUGCUUACUUUAUGAACAGUACAGUAGGUGAAAAGGCAAAAAGAAAAAACAAAGCAAAUAUGUCCUGUUCAACAACAAAUAGAUACGCAUGAGAGUUGCUACAGUACAUGGACCACACAAUCUCUCAAAGUAUGAGCAUGAAGAUGCAGAAUCCACUUUAUCUCUCCUGCGCCAGUCCCAAGGCAAAUCUGGGAAAAUAACUUUCUGAUGUAUGUGGAAAAGCCCAUACUUUGAUUACUGCCCAGGAAUUCAUAUGAAAAGCAUAUGACACGCCCAGAAAUUCAUGUGUUCAUUCACACAUGAUGAACCCAUAUGAAGAUCAUCAAGAACACAACAACAUUCUGAAGUUCAUCCUUGAUCAGAAUGUUCACCAAGAAUUUCAAGUAAAAGCUUUUGGGACCCACACAUGGCAUAACACCAUUGGACACCCUACAACGGCUAUAUGAGCCCAAAGACUCUAUAAAUAGAGAUCAAAGGCUCAACAUUACUUGCACCAUUGCAAAGCAUACAAGAAAACAACUGAAAUUGUUUGAAGCUCUUGCAAUUGAAUUAAUUAUCACUAAAGGCUUUUUUUACCUUCUUUGUAGUGUAAAUCAAUUCUCUUUGUUAUCUUUGUUAAAGAUAACUUCUUCUUCCUCCUCUUAUGUUUGAUUCUCGAACAUGCAAACCUCUUACAAAUUGUAAACAAAGUCUCAUCUAGCUUUAGGGGUACUAAAGUGUUAGUUUGAGCUUAGUUUGUAAAAGUCUAAGUGGUUAACUUAGCAACAAGGUGCAAACCUGCUGAGGAUUAGAGAAUAGUGAGGAGUGGACUAACCCACAUUGGGUGAACCACUAUAAAUCGCUGUGUGUUCUUUCUCUCUUCCCUAGACUCUUUAAUUACACUUGUACACUUACUUUAUUAAACAGUUUUUUGUGUAUGAACAUUAGAACGUUCUGAAGUCAUAAUAUUAACUUAAAUUAUGUUAACUUGUUUUGAAUUUGUAAUAUCCCGCUUCAUUAUGACAGCAACAUCAGUCUAGAAUACCACAUCAAAAUCCAAUUUCAUCACUAAAUGUCAAUAUUACAAAUUCUAAAAUUAAAGCUUAUUAUGAAACUCACCUCAAAUUCAACUUCCAUUGAUGCCAAAAGCUCUCUGUCUCUUUUAAAGCUUCUGCUCAAACUUCCUUCAAUUCCUUCCCAUCAGUUCUUGCUUCUAAACACCAACAUAAGGUAAAACCAUCAUCAAUAGAUUACAUGCAAGCCAAUUAUCAAGCUCAAGAUAAAACUUUCCAAAACAGCAUGUGAAUGAUGAUGGUACAGCUGGGGAAGAAAAGAAAGCAAUUAAGUUUGUUUUAGGGAUGAAAUAGUGUGAAGAUUGUGAUAGUUUCUUUGCAUGUUGGAUUGAUAUAAGAGAUUGAGUGGAAAUUUUUGAUGUUUGGAUGGGAGAAGUAUGGGGGCCGAGCCAAAAAGAGAGGAGGAGGGAGAGAGAGACUCUGUACGUGAGAGAGAAUUGGAAGGAAAAAGAUAAGAAGAAAAAUGUGGUUUAGCUCUUUUAUAAUCUUUUGAUAAAAUUAUUACCACGAUGCCCUCCUCUUAAGAUGUUUUUCAGUCACAGUUAAAAGGACACUGCAUUCUAUCCGGAAUUAAGCGGGAUAUUACGAAUUCAAAAUAAGUUAACAUAAUUCCCAAUGAAUAAUAAGUCAAUUAAUUCAUAUAUACUAUUCAACAAUGAGAUCUAAAACUUAGAUCCAAAUUUUGUUACGAUGUUUCAAUGUUGUGCACAUAGAAGAAAUUCAAUUUGACUUUUCAUUAGAUUUGAUCUAGUGUAGCCUUUGUGUAAACGAGAAAUUUAUCUUUGAUGCCCUUUUAAAACAUUUUUAUUGAAAUGUGAAAUUCAAUCAAAUCGACGAAAUACCAAAUGCAUUGAGAAAAAUAUACAUUAAUCAUAUACAUUUGAUACUUCGUCGACUGAUUGAAAAUUCACCUCCAACAAAUGACUGAUGAUGGUAACAUACGAUAAGGAUUAAUCUGAUGAGUCACCUUUUUUAGCCCUGAAUAAAAAGAAGAUGGAGAAAAAACAUGGUGACAUAGAUAAAAUAAAAUCUACAUAAUACACAGAUGAAAAACAAAAUUUCUACUAACAUAAAAUACAAGUACCUAGGUAUUUAUAGCAUCAAAUAUUAACUUUUUUUAAUGGUGGAUUUAAGUUUUUAACUUAUUUUAUAUGAAAUUUAUAAAAAAAAAAAUCAAGCUUCUAGAAUGCUAAAAAGGUUUAUAAUAAAUAAUAAUAAUAAUAAUAAUAAAUAUAAAACUAUAAAAUAAAAAUAAAAAUAAAAAUGAAUUGAUAAUACGUUUUUUCUUUAAACUUAUUUGACUAAAAUUUAAGUAUUCUAAUUAUUAAAAAAUUAAAUGUGUUGAAAACCGAAGUCAAAUCAAGACCCAACUCAAGCGGUCAAUGUAUAAAAAAAGAAGUCAACAACAUUUAUUAUAAACAAAAGGAAAUUUAUUUUGCUUAGAUUGGAUUUGAUCGGUUGUCACAGUCAAAAUAAGGUACUAAAAAUUGAUCCUUUAUAAACAAAAGGAAAUUUAUUUUGCUUAGAUUGGAUUUGAUCGGUUGUCACAGUCAAAAUAAGGUACUAAAAAUUGAUCCUUUGCGGCUGCAUUAGGGGGUUCUCGCUCUCCUCCGACGGAAGAACCUCAUUAUUCGGUACCUUGCAUUAAAGGUGAUUCCCUUUCCAUACGAAUAUGCCAGGAUGAAUACGUUAAAGGUCUGGAAGAUUGUCAAUAUGCAUUACGUGGGAGACUAAUCUUGUCUAAAGGCGACAAACCUUACACCGCUCGCGAUUUAGCCUCCAAACUUGGCAAGAUUUGGAAGAUUAUCCAUCAAUGGAAGAUGGUUAAUCUUGGUCAGGGUUUCUACGAUUUUUUAUUUGAAAAUCAUGAUGAUUUUAAUCGGACUUGGACAGCGGGUACAGUUUCACUACAACCAGGGCUCCUUCGCCUCUCCCAAUGGACGAAGGAUUUUAACCACAACGCUCAGACACAAACACACGCCUCUUUAUGGAUCAAACUUGUAGUGUUGCCUCAGGAGUAUUGGCGCGAAAGAACAUUGAAAGAAAUUGCGAGUGCGGUGGGUACCCCUAUUUCUAUUGAUGGACCGACACGUAAUAGAGCUUUCGGACACUAUGCACUCAUUCUUGUGGACAUUGACUUAUCGAAGCGGGUUUAUGAUGAAAUCCUUGUUGAACGGGAGGGGUUUGCUUUUAACGUAGAAGUGCAAUAUGAAAGACGCCCUUUGUUCUAUCAUUGGACAUAAUGUCAUGAAUUGUAAGAGGUUGUCAAGGUCCCUGACCGUGGGAAGAAGCAGGUUACUGAUGCAGCUAGCAAUCCACCGCUUGUUGGGAAGGGAGCUUCUUCAUCAGGCACACUAUGUUAUGUUCCCUUACCAACAGCUGCUGAGACACAUGUUGUUGUUCCCACACCAACAGCUCAUGCACACGCUGUUGUCCCCCCACCAACAGCUGAGACAUGUGCUAUUGUUUGUAACGCCCUAUUUAAUUAUUAGAUUAUUUUAUUGAGUUUAGAGUCUAUUUAUAUGAUUUAUGUGAUUAAAAUGAUUAUGUGGUGUGUUGUUAUUUUAUUAAGUGGUGUUAUUUUAUUAUUUAAUACAAUAAGAUUUGAAAUUAAAAUAAUAUUGAGAUGAGAGGCUGUUUUGAGAAUUUAGAGAGUUUAGUGGAAUAAGUGGAAAUAAGAUAAAGAGGGUUGAGGAAAUAAAUAGGAGAAAACCUAAGUCAGAAUAGUUUUCACGUGAAACAAAACGUUUUGGAGAAAAAGGGAGAAAACAAGAGAAGAGAAGAACCGGAGAGAUCGUAGAGCUUCGUUCAUCUAAAUUAAGGUAAAGGUGAGGCUAAAUCUCAAUAAUCAUAGUGUAUGUGAAUUCUGAAAUUGAUUUAACAUGUGGUUGUUUAUGAAUUUUGGAAUUAGGGUUAGAAUGUAGAAUUGAAUUGUGGAAAGAAGUAGAUAAUCUGAUGGAUGUGCAUUAAGUAUUCUAAGUAUUAAAAAAUUAAAUGUGUUGGGGGUUUAUGCUCCGGAAUGCUUAGUCAUUCAAACACGUUAAAAUGGUACCACAUGCAUGUGCAUUGACGCAUUUGUCGUUGUGUCGUUGCAUAGUCGUUGUUGUUGGUUGAGUUGUAGUCGUUGUUGUUGGUUGAGUUGUUGUCGUUGUUGUUGUCGUUGUUGUUGGUUGAGUUUGUAGGUGUUGUUAAUAUUGAUGAAGUAUGAAACAAGACUAUUGAAUUAUCCGUUGUUAAUUAGGUUGUUAAAUACAGUUGAUGAUUUAUAUACCUAUUAUUAUUGUUUGUGAAUCUCACCCCUUCUGCUUGAAAAUGUUGCCCUUCGUAUGGGUAACUUGCAGGUGAUCGAGGAUAGUUGCUGUUAGUUGUUGUUAGUUGCUGUCGUGAGUGGACCUCCUCUCACGUGUGUCUUAGGUGCUCUGAUAUGUAACGGGAUGAGAAAUAUUGUCGUUGUAUUCAUCAUUCCUUAUGUAUCAUUAUGAACCUGUUGGUGUUGGAUUAAAUCCUUAAAGAUAAUUAUGUUGAGGCCAUGUGCCAAAUUUAUUGAAAGUUGUUUAAUGUUGAAAAUAAUUCCGCUGCGAUGAAUUGAUAUGUUUUACCAAAGUUAUUAUUUAAUAAAUAUGAUUUUAUUCUAUUUAUGAAUUUUUGAAAAGCAGUGUGACAUUCCGUUUGUUGAUUAACUCUGAUUUUACUUAAUAUUUACGUUGUUGGGUUAAUGGGGUGUUACAUUGUUCCCCCAACAGCAGCUGCCAUCCCCAAUAAUAUUGCAACAUCUGUUGUCCCUCCACCAUCAGCUGCAGCCGGUGAGGCAGCAGGUACCACUUGUAGCAACUUGCAAGGUUUUUCUGAACCUAUUCCUCAAGGUAAUCUACCUCGGCCUAAUACACAUGUUUUGGAGCUAGCAGAAUCUGUGAUGAAUGAUGAUGUGCAACGUUCAUCCGAGACACUUCCGGUUAAUCAAAAUAAUAUUUAUGUUGAACACGGCGAAGAACAGGAUGAUGAUGAUGACAUUGAUUUUUUUAUUGAUGAAGAUGGUAUUGCAACAGCUGCACCGAAGACUACUACUACUUCCAUCCCUCUGGUUUUGGCAGCAGUCCCAGUACCUGAUCCUUUGGUGGCUGCCUCGACGGUGGGCUCUCAGGAUGAUAACGCUUUAUCCAUUGCCGUCCCGGAGAAACACAACAAUGAUAGAGUUCAACAUGAUAUGGAACUUUGUGAAAAAGAGUAUGAUAUGCAGGUUGAAGCUCUUUCUGGGUCACGCCCUUCCUUGGCGUCACCGGUUGUUGUAGAGAGGUCUCUUGAAGCUAGCGCUAGCAUGACAAUACCAGAAGCUCAAGAGGUUGUAGUUUUACAACAACAACAUGUACAUCCCAUCAAGAACAUUCAACACGGCCUAGAUCUAUGGGACAGAGUUCGUGAAUAUGAUGCAAGGUCAGCUGCAGAAGAUUUCACACCGGUCCUUACAAGGAAGCAGAAAUAGAAAAUUAAAGUGCAACAAGUCUUGGCUAAGCAGCCCCCUAAAACCCGUGCCCGGGGUGAUAAUCAUCAGACUGCUCAAUGAAUUUCCUCCAUUGGAAUGUUAGAGGUAUCAGUAAUUAUGAUACUCGGAUUGCUUUAAAAAUUUAUACAUGUCUCAAAAAACUGUUCUGAUUUUUAUUGAGGACCUAGCAUGGGUCACUCAGUGCAAAGAACGGUUUGACUAUCUUCUCUCCCUAAUGAGUGAUUUCUUUAGGGAUAGAUGUGGUUUACCCAACGACAUAUUUCCAUAAUUUGUUUUACGGUGUUUUUUGUUGAUUCCUUUAUUCUUGCUUUCUGUUUUUUCUCUAGAGGGUUUUGGUCUAGUCCCCCCUCCUUUGUAUUUAUUUUCCCCCUUUUUUUAAUAAAUUUUUUAGAGUUUGGCAGCAUAGGAUGGAGAUUUCUCACGGUGCCAACCAAGUUGGGAUGUCGAUGUUGCCUCUUGAUGUCUGUCCAUUCUCCUUGCUUAUAAAAAAAUUAUUAAAAAAUUAAAUGUGUUGAAAACCGAAGUCAAAUCAAGACCCAACCAAGCGUCAAUGUAUAAAAAAAUGAAGUCAACAACAUUUAUUAUAAACAAAAGGAAAUUUAUUUUGCUUAGAUUGGAUUUGAUCAGUUGUCACAGUCAAAACUAAAAAUUGAUCGAGUCUAUUUAAGAAAAUAAGGUUUUUAUUUUAUUUUUAUAUUUUCGUCCGGUUGGUGAACUUUGCAAUGGAUGUGAGAAAUCAUAUUUUAAGGCAUCUAACUAAAGACCUCCUAUUAGCGAGUAUUCUUGUACGCAUUGUACUCAAUUCCAUAUUAAACAUGCCACGAACAAUCCAAAUAAAUGGACCGAUGAAUCUAUACCAGAAAUAGAUUAUAUCUAUUCAUGUUAUAAUUUAAGAUUUCACUAGGUAAUUUUGAUUGCAUUAUAACUAUAAGCCUUUGAUUUUUUAAUACAUGAAUUGAUUGCGGAAACAUUACAACUAUUUAAUUUGACUAUAUGCUUUGUUAUCUUAUUUUUGUCAAAAAAAUUAAAUUUAAACUCAUAUCAUAAAAUAAUGAAUGCAACUUGAUAAUAUAUAUUACAAUCACAAAAACUUAAAUAUUAUUCCAUAAACCGAAGACUUAACAUAAUUAGCUUUAGUAAAAAAUCUACUCUCGAAACUCUCUUUUACACGUAAAUAAGCAUUAGGUAAAAAAAAAUUGCUUUUGGUUUUUACUGUUUUUUUUUCUACAUGUGUUCGACAAUAUUUUUUUUUUCUAAGCCAGGAUAUUGGACAGGCAUCAACGGGAAGCAACGACAUCCCAACUAAGUGGCACCCCGCAGAACCCCCAUCCUAUACCACCAAUCUCAGAGAAAAUUUUGUUAAAAAAGGGGGAACUUUAAUUAACUUUUUCCCGAUUCACAUUUCUUAAAUUAACUCAAUUCUUGCAUCCAUUGUUCGUUUUUUCCCAUUAAGCACUUCUGAUUCAUUCCAAAACAGCUCAUUCAUCAAAAACUAUGCCAAAACCUGUAAGCAGCUUUCUGCAGAAUUUACCAAACUUCAAAUGCGUUUUUCGAAUCCAUUUCUAAUCAGAAUCAUACCAAAUCUAUAUCCAAACUGAAGGGAAUCAAAUGUAGAAAUAAAAAAUUCAACAAUUAUACAAGUAUGGGUUACACAUCUAAAUUUAAAGCUUAUUAUGAAACUCACCUCUAAUACAACUUCCAUUGAUACCAAAAACUUCAAAGCUGUCUGUCUCUUUUAAAGCUUCUGCUCAAACUUCCUUCUAUUCCUUCCCAUCAGUUCUUUCUUCUAAACACCAACAUAUACAACCAUCAUCAAUAGAUUACAUGCAAGCCAUUUAUCAAGCUGAAGAUAAAACUUUCCAAAACAACAUGUGAAGGAUGAUGGUACGGCCGGGGAAGAAAAGAAAGCAAUUAAGUUUGUUUUAGGGAUGAAAUAGUGUGAGGAUUGUGAUAGUUUCUUUGCAUGUUGGAUUGAUAUAAGAGAUUGAGUGGAAAUUUUUGAAGUUUGGACGGGAGAACUAUGGGGGCCGAGCCAAAAAGAGAGGAGGAGGGAGAGAGAGACUAUGUACGUGAGAGAGAAUUGGAAGGAAAAAGAUAAGAAGAAAAAUGUGGUUUAGCUCUUUUAUAAUCUUUUGAUAAAAUUAUUACCACAAUGCCCUCCUCUUAAGAUGUUGUUCAGUCACAGUUAAAAGGACACUGCAUUCUAUCCGGAAUUAAGCGGGAUAUUACGAAUUCAAAAUAAGUUAACAUAAUUCCCAAUGAAUAGUAAGUCAAUAAAUUCAUAUAUACUAUUCAACAAUGAUAACUAAAACUUAGAUCCAAAUUUCGUUACGAUGUUGCAAUGAUGUGAACAUAGAAGAAAUUUGAUUUGACUUCUCAUUAGGUUUGACCUAGUGUAGCCUUUGUGUAAACGAGGUUUGACCUAGUGUAGCCUUUGUGUAAACGAGAAAUUUAUCUUUGAUGGCCUUUUAAAACAUUGUUAUUGAAAUGUGAAAUUCAAUCAAAUCGACGAAAUACCAAAUGCAUUGAGAAAAAUAUACAUCAAUCAUAUACAUUUGGUACUUCGUCGACUGAUUGAAAAUUCACCUCCAACAAAUGACUGAUGAUGGUAACAUACGAUAAGGAUUAAUCUGAUGAGGCACCUUUUUUAGCCCUGAAUAAAAAGAAGAUGGAGAAAAAACAUGGUGACAUAGAUAAAAUAAAAUCUACAUAAUACGCAGAUGAAAAACAAAAUUUCUACUAACAUAAUAUACAAGUGCCUCCAUGAAUUUAAACAAGUACCUAGGUAUUUAUAGCAUCAAAUAUUAACUUUUUUUAAUGGUGGAUUUAAGUUUUUAACUUAAUUUAUACGGAAUUUAUAAAAAAAAAUUCAAGCUUCUAGAAUGCUAAAAAGGUUGAUAAUAAAUAAUAAUAAUAAUAAUAAAUAUAAAACUAUAAAAUAAAAAUAAAAAUAAAAAUGAAUUGAUAAUAUGUUUUUUCUUUAAACUUAUUUGACUAAAAUUUAAGUAUUCUAAUUAUUAAAAAAUUAAAUGUGUUGAAAACCGAAGUCAAAUCAAGACUAAUUUGAUCCUAAAAUUCUCUCUCUUGACAAGAAUAAUAAAGUCAUUGUGGAAUAAAAGAAUCAAAUUAAUUUUGGGUUCAAAGUUUUAUUUUUGUAGGUCAUGAUAUGUAUGUCUUGUUUUGGCUAUAUCUGGAGCUCUGGAUGUCCGUUUGAGGUGAUCUUUAACUCAUUGGAAAGCUUACGGAAUUCUCUACAUUUCGUCUGUUUGACUCAGGAGCUAUUCAAGCUAUAAAUUCAAGGUCGAAUUCUCUUGAGGAGGGAGAGUAUGAUGUGAUCCUAAAUUUCUCUCUCUUGACAAGAAUAAUAAAGUCAUUAUGGAAUAAAAGAACCAAAUUAAUUUCGCCUUGAGGAAUCGCCACAAUGGUAAGGAAUCCAUUGAUAAGAUUCGAUAAACUUGGUUCAAUCUAGAACCAAAAAGAAGCAAAGCUUCACAACACACAAAGUGUAUUUUUUUUUAUCAAAAUUCAACUUGUCCCCUUCAUUAUUUCCGCCCCCUUUAUAUAGGAAAUAAACUUGAAUGCUAAAAAGCUUACAAUCAUAGCAUAAUUUGUGUUAUAACUCCUUGGUGGCUAGUUAUUACAAAAGAGGUUACAAUUUAAUUGGAUCUUUAAAGUUGGUGGCUGAUCAAUGCAUGAGAAGGUUACAUAUUCAUUUUCACAUUGAUUUGUGAAGGCUUAUUAUGUCUAGACGUUACAAUUCCACAAACACCACCUUUAAUUCUUCAGCUAACACACUUUAACCACGUCUUCUACUUAUAGCUCAUUCUACACCACUAAAUAUUCCGAAUUUGCUUUUGAGUCAAACAGACGAAAUGUAGAAAAUUUCGUAAGCUUUCCAAUGAGUUAAAGAUCACCUCAAACGGACAUCUAGAGCUCCAGAUAUAGCCAAAACAAGACAGACAUAUCAUGACUUACGAAAAUAAACUUUGGACCCAAAAUUAAUUUGGUUCUUUUAUUCCACAAUGACUUUAUUAUUCUUGUCAAGAGAGAGAAUUUUAGGAUCACACCAAAGACCCAACUCAAGCGGUCAAUGUAUAAAAAAAGCAGUCAACAACAUUUAUUAUAAACAAAAGGAAAUUUAUUUUGCUUAGAUUGGAUUUGAUCAGUCGUCACAGUCAAAACUAAAAAUUGAUUGAAUCUAUUUAAGAAAAUAAGGUUUUUAUUUUAUUUUUAUAUUUUCGUCCGGUUGGUGAACUUUGCAAUGGAUGUGAGAAAUCAUAUUUUAAGGCAUCUAACUAAAGACCUCCUAUUAGCGAGUAUUCUUGUACGCAUUGUACUCAAUUCCAUAUUAAACAUGCCACGAACAAUCCAAAUAAAUGGACCGAUGAAUCUAUACCAGAAAUAGAUUAUAUCUAUUCAUGUUAUAAUUUAAGAUUUCACUAGGUAAUUUUGAUUGCAUUAUAACUAUAAGCCUUUGAUUUUUUAAUACAUGAAUUGAUUGCGGAAACAUUACAACUAUUUAAUUUGACAAUAUGCUUUGUGAUCUUAUUUUUGUUAAAAAAAAUAAAUUUAAACUCAUAUCAUAAAAUAAUGAAUGCAACUUGAUAAUAUAUAUUACAAUCGCAAAAAUUUAAAUAUUAUUCCAUAAACCGAAGACUUAACAUAAUUAGCUUUAGUAAAAAAUCUACUCUCGAAACACUAUUUCACACGUAAAUAAGCAUUAGGUAAAAAAAAAAAUUGCUUUUGGUUUUUACUGAUUUUUUUUCUACAUGUGUUCGACAAUAUUUUUUUUUUUCUAAGCUAGGAGAUUGGACAGGCAUCAAAAAGAAGCAACGGCAUCCCAACUAGAUGGCACCCCGCAGAACCCCCAUCCUAUACCACCAAUCUCAGAGAAAAUUUUAUUAAAAAAGAGGGAACUUUAAUUAGCUUUUCCCCGAUUCACAUUUCUUCAAUGAACUCAAUUCUUGCAUCCAUUGUUUGUUUUUUCCCAUUAAGCACUUCUGAUUCAUUCCAAAAUAGCUCAUUCAUCAAAAACUAUGCCAAAUCCUGUAAGCAGCUUUCUACAGAAUUUACCAAACUUCAAAUGCGUUUUUCGAAUCCGUUUCUAAUCCGAAUCAUACCAAAUCUAUAUCCAAACUGAAGGGAAUCAAAUAUAGAAAUAAAAAAAUUCAACAAUUAUACAAGUAUGGGUUACACAUCUAAAAUUAAAGCUUAUUAUGAAACUCACCUUAAAUGCAACUUCCAUUGAUGCCAAAAGCUUCAAAGUUGUCUGUCUCUUUUAAAGCUUCUGCUCAAACUUCUUUCAAUUCCUCCCAUCAGUUCUUGCUUCUAAACACCAACAUAAGGUAAAACCAUCAUCAAUAGAUUACAUGCAAGCCAAUUAUCAAAGCUUCUUGAAAUUAAAGCUUCUUGAAAUUCUGGCACGUUAGACUUACGAUGUUAUGUGCGAUGUUUCAACACAAGUUAUACAGAAACAAAUGUUGAAUAAAAUGUUUCGAACACUAAGCUACCACAAGACAAGAAAAAAAAUUCAAAGCAUAAAGUAAAAGGCACAGAGAGUUUGUUAACCCAGUUCGGUGCAACGUCACCUACUCUGGGGGAUACCAAGCCAGGAAGGAAAUCCACUAGUGUAGUUCGUAUUCAAUAGCUCUAAGCAAACUCCUCGUUUGCACUAAUGACCUAGGACCUACCCAUACUGACUUCAACCUAGGAACUUCUAGAUCUGAGAUCCCAUCUCAGUCCCUUACAACUGAUCACAGCCCCUUUGAUACUCAAAUAACAAAUACAAUCAAUAUGAAGUUACCUUCAAACAAAACAACUAAACACCGUACUUCACAGCUUAGGUGCAGUUUACAAACUACCUAACUCUUUGCUUAAAAGCUUCAGAGUAGUGCACAAUUUACAACUCAAACACAGUCCUAAACAUGCAUCAAGAUGAUACACGAAAGGCUCACAUAGACAGACUCAAAACCCUAGAUGAUCUAUUCUUCAAAUGACGGCUUGAAUCAUUCUCUAGGUCUUCCAGUCUUGUUUAAAUACUGAAGCAAUACGAGUCAGUAAACUUGUUGGGCUACAGAACAAUCCAGUGAUCCAUUUCAGGUACAACAGAACCAGAAAAGGAAACUCCUAAUAUGUAGACACAUAAUUAGGAACAUCCUGAUCACCUCCAAACUUUCCUAAGUAGAUAACACAAUCUUAGGAAAUCACAAACGAUCUGAUCCUGUGCUAAAAACACGCAGCUUGGCCAACAAGAAUAAAGGGGUGGAUUCCUUAAAUAAAAUAGCGCGUGCGAAAAACAAGGCAAGGUACAAGUCAACUGAACCAUGCCAUGAUGUUGACACAUCUUGUUCAACAUCUCACAUGAAUAUUUGUUUUAGGCAAAAGUGAAGCCAAUAUACAAAUAUCCAAGAAUCUCCCCCUUUGGCAAAUUUUUGGCUAAAACAAACUAAGGCCAGUCCAAUCAAAGUUGAGAGAUAACACGCAACCUUUUCUUCAAUCAUCACACAUAAUCAACCAUGAAGAAAGGUACACAUACUCAAAUUACCGAUAUAUACCACAAAAUAUAAAUCUUCAGUCACUUCAUAAUCUUCAGAAGUUGGAAGAGGUAUAUCACAGGUCUCAGAAUCUACUUUCAUAAUUUUUCACAAAUAAUCAUCAUAUGAAACAGUAGAUAAGAGAAAUAGGUACCAUACUAUAAAAUCAAAGCCUUGCACCAACGGAAACACAAGGAAAAAUAAAUUCUCAUUAAACAUGCAGAAGCUACCUAGAAUGUUCUAACCUUCCAUAAAACAUUCACAGAUACUGGAAAAAAUAAAUUUCCAUAUACACUUGCAACUGCAGAACAUUCACAGAAUCAAUCCCCCUCAAAGAUGCAACCAUUGAGUGAUUACUGACACAAACACUCCCCCUGAAUACAUGCAUAUAUAAACAGAAGCCUUCGAAGCUGACAGAUAUAACUUCUACUAGCACAUUAUAAGAACAGGCAUGCAUAAAAAAGAACACCAAAUCAGGAGUUCUUCAAACACAGGCACACAUUGCAGAGAUGUGUUCCAACAUCACCUGACACAUUAUCUGCUAAACAACUACCUGCUAAACAUACUCAGGCAUACAGGUACAAACACCCAAAGGUAUGCAGAGAUCAUCAUAGAACAUAGAACCAUACUAGCAUCUUCUUUUACUCCCCCUUUUUAGCCAUAAAAUGUGCUAGAAUAAGAACUUGAAACCAAACAGAGAUUACCAGAUUCUAGUAAGAAGAAGUCUUCAAAUUAAAAGUUGUUCAGAAUCAUAAGAGAACCAAAAAAUAAAAAUGCAGAAAUUAUAUGGUUACAGACCACAACACUUAAAGUGCUCAAAUUAUCCAGGGCAUAGCCCACAAAACACACAAAAGAGAAAAAGAACAGAAAGAAAAAAAAAAUCAUUCUUCUGCCUCAGAGCUGCUCCCAGAUUCUUCCUCUUCACCUUUUUUGGUCAAAUCUUCAUUAGCAUCCUCACCCUCAUCAUCAGGAUCAUCUUCAUCUUCAACUUCCCUUUCACUUUCAGCCUCUUCAAACUCCUUUUCACUCUCUGCCUCUUCAACAGCGCUAUCAACAGCCUUUUUCUCCAUAGCAAGAAUCAUAAGGUCAAUCUGAGUCUUCCUCUCACCCAGGAUCACACUUGUAGCCUUUAAACCAACAAUGAUUUGUUUGUCAGACAUAUUACCUGCAUUAGGAGUAGGCACAGAUGUUCCAACCAGAUCUGGAGCAUGACUGUCUCCAAACAGUUUCUGAUGGAAAGUAAGGGGAAAAUCCCUUUUCAUGGGCAAAUCAGCAGCAGAGAUGAUAUUAGGGUGUUGACUGUUUGACAUCAUCAAUCUUAGCAUGCCUCAUGGUCUGAUCAAAAACAUACCUCCUAAUGCCCAUCUUAGUCUUAGUUCCUACAACAAAAAAAAAUCUAGCCAAACCUGUUGCUAUAUCUGAAGAGUGAGUAGUAGGAACCCAAUUGGCAACACCAAUUCUGUUAAGAAUCGCAUACUUCAAGCUCAGCUUUCCGGAGGAAAUCUUUCCUUUCUUUGGCCAAACUUGCACCUUAUUGGCUGUGAUCUCUUUGCAAAUCUGAUUAUAUGUAGCUUCCACCUCAGCAGCUCCUCCUUCAAUACCUAGAAAAUUAUAGAUGAUGUUGGGGGAGAAGUUGACACAUUCUCCUCUAACGUACACUUUUUGAUAAUUUCUCCUAAGAGGAUUAUCAUAGUCCAUGGGAAUGUUCACCAAGAAUUCUCUAACCAGCUUUUCAUAGCACUCUCCUAACUUGCACACAGUCUUCUCCAGACCAGCCUCUCUGAUUAAACUCAUAACCUCCUCAAUUUUCAACACUUCUUCACUUAAUUCUCUUUCCAAAGCGAGCCUUCUGUGGUAAAUGAAUUUCCACCUCUAAGCAAAGCUUGGAAGAUGAAAGGAUACUUUGUCAAUGGGAACAUCUUCCACAAUCUGCAGAUCUUUCUUCCCAGCAGCUUUCUUGGAUUCUGAGGGAGUGAUGUUUAGCACAUCCAGCUCAGCAUCAUAUUCUGACUCACUUGAAGAGACAACCUUUCUCUUCCUAGAGCUACCAGCACCACUUUUCACCAUCACCUUACUCCAGUUCUUCUUGGGACCAAUACCAGCCGUUUUUGUCUUGCUUUUUGGGGUUUCAUCUACAGUGAUAGUUGUCCUCUUAGAGGAUUGGCUAGUGGCAGGGACAGCUUCCCUUGUUGCUUCUGAGUCUCUUGUUCACACUGUCUCCAAGAGUCUGUACCAGGGGAACAUCAUCCAAUUCAAGAUCAUCGACAUCCACUAUAACACCCUAUUUCUAUUAAAGCGAUAAAACUCGCGAAUAAAGCAUAUAUUCAAUAAAUAGACGCUACGUCAUCAUACAAAAUUCAAAUUCAUCAUGCAAGCAUAAAAAUCUCAACAGUCGCAGCGGAUAUAUAAACCAUAUACUUCGAAGCAUACAUGACAUACAAACAAAAAUACAUCAACAUAAAUGUUCUCCAAGUCCCGACAAAAGGGUAAAUCUCCAACAUGAAUAAAUCCAACAAAUAAUCUAGACCAACAUAACAGACACCUAGAUCAGAGCCUAUCCUAGACCCUACAAAACCGAUACCGGAGAUAGCUCCCGAUAUCCAACCAAGCAUCAAUCAACUCACCGGAGCAACUAAUCCAGCACAGUGUCUACCCAUUCAUACAGACAGGUAGGCGGUCAAAACCACUGGGGUAAGUAUUACAUCAAUCAUAAUCCACAUAACAGUUAAUCAUGAAUAAUUCAAUUCCAAGUACUUAGCAUAAACAAUUAAUUCAAUGUGUGCAUUUACAUAGCAUUUCAAAAUAAUACAACCAAGUAUCCACCAAGCACAUUUAUCAACAAUUCAUAUCAUUCACAAUCUCAUCAUAACUUCAACAAAUAUUCAUUCACAAACUUCAACAAUUAUCAUUCACAUGCAACAAAUCAACUCAUGUUAAUUAUGCAAUGCGCCUAACACCGACGCCUACAUGCAUGUGGUACCAAGCACAACAACGUCUAGGCCGUUACCCCAUGAUGUCAACUGCACAUCAUUUGUAAGAAUACACCUCCUCUUACACACAACUAUGUAAAAGUACACCUCCUUUUACAUUUCACAUAUGACAAUGAUGCAUGGACAUAGCAAAGACCAAAUAAUGCAACUCCACAACUCACAACAACAUAAUGUAAAAGUACACCUCCAAUUACAUUGUACAACUUCAACAACAAUUGCAUUAUCAAACAUUCACAUCCACACAACCAACAUGUCAUAAUUCAAUUAAGAGUCACCACCAAAAUAUCAACACACAUUCAUUAAUCAACUACUUCAUAUAGUUUCACCAAUCCAAUUGUCUCAUAUUCCAAGUAAGAGAACAUACAACAUCUCAUGAUCAUAUCAUAUCAACAUGUCACAAUUCAUUCAUACAUCUUCAUUUAGUCAAAUGAAGCUAGUCACAAAAGGUCAUAAGAUAAUUGACUUAAAGGAAUCUUUUCCGACAAAACCGUAUCAAGUGGCAAACGGCCAACAUCGAUAACUCUCAAAGUUAGGUAACGAUAUAAAGUUUAAAAACUCACCAAACAAUCUUAAUCAAGAGCUUAAGCCGAUUACAAACUAUUAGACAUUAGUUCAAAGACUAGCUUAAGUUCGUAUGAUAAAACCCAAGUUAACAUUUUUCACAUUGCCAUACGAAAUUCACGUUUAACAUGAUUAAGAUGUUUGACCAACAUUACAAGCCUUACCUAAGUCUAUAUGAGCUGUAGGUUUAACUUGUAAUCUCAUUCAUUUCAUAAAAGUUCAAUUCAUCAAAAUCCGAAAUUCCCAAAAAUAUGCAAGUUUCAACCCAAAAUGGAAAAUCCCAAGUUUGAAUGAGCUAAACAUGUUCCAGUAGGUUUAGAGGUUCAAACAGAGAUUAAACAAGUUGAAAGGAUCAUUUUACAAAGCUCGGAUUGACCCCCUAAAUCCCAGAACAAAAAUCAAAAGUGGCUGAAUCUGGGCAGGUUCGCUUAAGCGACCACUUCGCUUAAGCGAAGAAGUUCCAGUAGCUACCUGUAAUGUACACUUACUGAUCGAUUACCGUUCGCUUACCUGUUCGCUAAAGCGAACACCUGGUUUGCUUAAGCGAACAAGUUCCAGUAGCUAUUAGUAAUGUACGCUUACCGGUCGCUCACAGGUUCGCUUAAGCGACAUGUUUCCAGAACUUGCUAUGAUGGUUCGCUUAAGCGAACAGUCAUAGUUCUGCAGAAAAAUAUUACGGGUUUCAACCCCUUUUCACCCAAAACCCCCAAUUUUGAUCUUCCAAUGCCCAAAUGUGUUUCCAGAGGUUGUUUACAGGUCAUUAUAACUAAAUUGAUUCACAAGAACACAACCAACAUGAAAACCAAUGACAUUUGAACCAAUUCACCAAUUUUGCAAAACUACCAACAACAACUCAUUUCUCAUCCUCAAGUCAUGAAUUAUGAAUACCCAAGCCAUGAAUCAUCAACAACAACAUCACUCAACAAUUUGAGCAUAAUUCAACAUAUAUCACUUUCUCAUACUUUGAACAUGAAAUUUCACCAACAACAAUUCAAUUAUCAACAACUUCAUGCAUUUAAACAUAUCAUCAUAAUUGGAGCACGAAUUCUAACAAUUAUGAACAAUUAUUCAAUUAUUCAAUUAAGCACUUAAUCAUACAACAAUUGAAAAUUUACACUAAAAAUGAUUAUGAUUGAAUUCUAACCCCCUUACCUUAAUUAUCACCAAUUCCUAACCCAAGCUUCACUUUAGCUCCUAGGAUCUCUCCAAUUCUUGAAUCUUCAAGCUCUUCUUCUCUCUAAACCUUUUUCCUCUUUUCCUUCACUUUCUCUCUCUACCUCUCUCAAAAUAUCUUAUGUAAUGAAAAAUGAGUGAUAUUUUAUCUUAAGACAAGUCUUAUAUAGUCUAUUUUCCUAAUGGGCUUAACCCUAAACCUUAGUGGACUUAACCCACUCCAACUCAAUUCUAAAAUGUUUCUACACUCACAACGGUAAAAUACUAUUAAUGAUCACUCAACGGUAAAAUACUAGCAACGGUCACUUAAUGGUAAAAUACUAAUUAUUACCCUAGUAACUUAGUAAAAUAAUGGUUCUCACUAAACGCUAAAAAUAAUUCUCACCAAAAUUAGUAAUUUUACCCCUCUAGCACGAAACCCAUGAAAAUGCACCCAGUGAUGAAUAAUCACACACAAGCACAAAUAAACACAAUAAAAUAAUUAAAAAUAAUUCUAACGGAAAUCGGGCUGUUACAUCCACCACUUCUUUAUCACUCUUUUUACCAUCUGAAUCUACUUCUUCAACAUCUUUUUCAAAGUCACCACCAGAUCUACCUCUUUCAUCAGUAUGGGAGUCCUUAACCGAGUUAUCAAGAUUCUCAUCCUCCUCUAGGUCAGUCUGAACACUUGGUUCCUUUUUCUCACUAACAAUAUCUUCCACACCAGCAGGUUUAACAGGUUGGCCCAAGGAUGUGCCAACAUUCGGUCCAACAUCAACUUGAACAUCAGUUUCUUUUGGAGUAUUUUCUAUAGAUUCAUCGGCCCUAGUGUCAACAGCAGGGUUACUCACAUCCAUGUUCUCAUUACUUUCUAUGGCAUCAUUCAAUACUUCUAACCCUAGUUUUCUACCAGAUAUAGGUUCUUUAGAAAUUAGGGUUGAAUCAAGAUUACCUUUUUAAUCCCCAAGGGUUGCAGCAUCCGAAGCCACUUUGGGUGUAUUUCCAUCAUCAUCAGCACUUUGAGAAGUGGAACCUUCCUCGAUAGCUUUAAAAGAAUUCUCCUUUUUGUAGAGAUCCGUCAUGGACAGGGCUACUCUCGAAUCGCCUUUCUUCAGAGUCUUAUUCUUUGGAGAAGGCUUAACAACAUUUUUCUUUUUGGAUUUUAAAGGGGGAACAACGGUGAGAGGUUUAAACUUCUUUGGAACAGAGGAAUCAGUUUCUCGUUGUUCGGUCGUGUUCUUAUCAACAAAAACAGAAGGGUCGUUUUUGAACUUGAUGAUGAUGUGAUGUUGAUGAUAACGUUUGUGAGGAUGAAGCUUUUGAGGAUUGGUUGCAAAAAUAAGGAGGUGAACAUUUUUUAGAAGUUCAGAGAAAUAGAAAGUGAGACAAGGGUUAAGCAAUGUAUGAUUGCGGUUAGUUAGGAGAAGAGAAAUAAUUCGAACCAAAUAGCCUGAAUUAGUGUGCCCCAGUAAACGGUAAGAUACGCAUAAAGUCCUUGCACGCCUUCUUGAAAAAAGAAGAAAAAGCCAACACAAUUCAACCCCCCUUCUUGUGUUUUUCUCACCUUCAAUUGGUAUCAGAGCUUUGAUCUGUUGUCAAAACACUUAACAUUGUAACAGAAAAAGAUCUGAGAAAAACAUGUCUGGUGCGAAACCUGAAUCCAGUACGAGAAAUGCUAUUCCAUAUGAUUAUGGUAGCAACAAGAAAUCUGACUAUGGAAAAGUUCCAAAGUUCAAUGGAGAUCCUGAAGAAUUUUCCUGGUGGAAGACCAACUUCUAUAGUCAUGUCAUGGGUUUAGAUGAAGAUCUAUGGGACAUACUAGAAGAUGGUAUUGGUGACUUAGUCGUUGAUGAAGAAGGAGCUUCUAUUGAUAGAAGAAAACAUACUCCUGCUCAGAAGAAAUUCUACAAGAAGCAUCACACAAUCAGAGGAGCACCUGUCAAAGCUAUACCUAAAGCAGAGUAUAUGAAGAUGAGUGACAAAUCCACUGCUAAGUCAAUGUUUCCUUCUCUUUGUGCUAACUAUGAAGGUAGUAAGAAAGUCAAAGAAGCAAAAGCUCUGAUGCUUGUUCAUCAGUAUGAGUUGUUCAAAAUGAAAGAUGAUGAAAGUAUUGAGCAAAUGUACUCAAGAUUUCAUACUCUAGUUUCUGAACUUUAAAUACUGAAGAAAAGCUAUGUAGCCUCUGAUCAUGUGAGAAAGAUACUUAGAAGCUUACCUGCAAGAUGGAGACCAAAGGUGACUGCUAUUGAGGAAGCUAAAGAUUUAAACACUUUAAGUGUUGAAGAUCUUGUCAGCUCUCUCAAAGUUCAUGAGAUAAGUCUUAAUGAACAUGAACCUUCUAAAAAGAGUAAAUCCAUUGCUCUACCAUCAAAAGGGAAGUCAUCAAAAGCUCUUAAAGUUGUUGAAUAUGAAGAAGAAUCACCCGAUGAAGAUCCUGAUGAAGAUCAUAUAGAGAAGAUGGCUAUGCUUUCCAAUAAGCUUGAGUAUAUGGCAAAGAAGAACAAGAAGUUUCUGAGUAAGAAUGGUGGCUAUAAGAACUCUAAGAAAGAAUAUCAGAAGGGAUGCUUCAACUGUAAGAAGCAUGGACACUUCAUUGUUGAUUGCCCUGAUCUUCAGAAGGAGAAAUCAAAGGACAAGUCAAAGAAAUCAAGCUUCAACACAAGGAAAUUUAGAAAGCAGAUCAAAAAGAGUUUAAUGGCAACCUGAGAAGAUUUAGACAGUAAUUCAGACUUGAAAAGGAAGAUUCUUAAGAAGAUGCUAAAGUAGUUGUUAGGUUAGUGGCUAAUGUGAAUUCAGAAGCAGAUUCUGAAGAUGAAAAUGAGGUAUAUUCUAAAUUUCCCAUAGAAAAAUUGAUUGAGUCUCUUAAAGAACUUCUUACACAUUUUGAAUAUAGAACCAAUGAGUUGAAAGAUUUAAAAGAAAAAUAUGUUGCUUUGAUGAAACAACAAGAAUCAACUCUAUUGGAUCUGAAAGCUUCUGAAGAAGGACUUAGAGGGUUUGACUUCAUUUGUAGAACUUAUGAAGAAAAACUCAAGCAUCUUUGUCAGAAACUACAAGAAAAGUGUAAUGGAAAGUUUUUCAGUAAAGAAGAAAUUGCUCUUGAGGAGUAGAUUAUGUCAGGUAUUGACAGGAGCAAAGUUGCUUCUAUGAUUUAUAGCAUUUACAGAAACAAUGGUAAAGGGAUGGAUUUUCAGAAGGGAAACCAAAUGAAAUCAGUCUUAAAGCCGGUUGUGAAUGCAUCAGGAAGGAUUGAAAACCGUCUUUGUACCUGAAGGUGUAACACCCUAAAACCCACAUAUUAUUUUCUAAAUAAAAAUAUAAUAAUUAAUUAAACAUGCAAGGAUGUCACACAUCUUCUUCAAUUUAAAAAUACUUCAUUUAAAUAAAAACACGUCGAAACGGAAUAAAUUCAAAACAUCAAUGUAAUUGUCACAUCAGUGUAUCGACAUCAGAACUAAAUUCAAAGUCGAAUUUUGAAAACAAAAUCUAAAAUAAAAAGAAUCCCCAAUCCCUAGUGCCACUGAUCAGAGCUUCGACUCAAUAAAUACUCCCAAAAGCGAUAAGAAAAAAAAGAGAAGGCUCCAACGCCAUCCUCCGAGACUCACUGCUACUAAGAUAUUCUUUCUGCAAAUGUACACCACAAGGGUGCAGGCGCCCAACCUGCCACUAGAGGGUGAGAAUAUAUUCAACAUAAGAAAUUCAUAAACAUAUGUAUAGAUCCAGACUAAAGAAUACAUCAAUUAUAUUUAGAAAUGUAUGCAUCAUAAUCAGAUAAUAUUCACAUUUGAAUAUAUAAUUUAAUUUAGUAAAAAUCUAAUAGGCAUCAAUCAACAUCUUAUAAUAACAUGUGAACAUCAACAAUCAUAUAUUCAUAUUUAUUCACAUCAUUUAAUAAUCAUCUUUCAUCAUUUAAUAGAAACAAACAUAUCACCGUCAUUAAAUAAACUCAUCUUCAACUAUAAAUUUAUAUAUAUAUAGAUACUACAUCGUCAAAUAUACUACAUCUUCAAAUAUAUAUUUAUAUAUAGAUACUACAUCGUCAAAUAUACUACAUAUUCAUAUAUGCUUGACAAUGAAUGCAAUGUCCCUAACUCGACUCUAUAUGCAUGUGGUACCAAACCUAUCACCAUUGUCAAAUAUUUGGAUAUCAGAGGUAUGUUACUGAUUUUGUCCACACCAUCGUCAAAUACAACAUUGUCAAAUAUGACUGACCAUGAAUGCAUGAACACCAAACUAAUGACUCGACAAUGCACAUCUUUAUAAAACUCGACAAUUACACAUCUUUAAAUAGCUCAUCAUCAAAUAUUACUAUAUUACACACAUCUUUUAACCACACAUAUUCAAAUAACACAUCUUUAUAGAACACAUCUUUAAAUCACACAUCUUCAAACAUUACAUCUUUAAAUAUCAUAUAAAUUUUAAAAUUCAAAUGUGAUAAAAUCCAAAUAAUUAAAAUCAUAGUAUUCACAUAAAUAAUUAAGAAUGAUUCAAAGUCCAUUAGCAGCGAAGAAAACAGUAGCGACCAAAAAAUAAUAUAGUGAAAGAGAAGAAGCAAAAUUCACACCAAUAUUGAUAUACAUUUAGCAAACCCUAUCGGUAUGAUAAGAAUAAAAAAAAAGUAUAUAUGUAUAUAAUUAUCCAAGAAGCCGAAGUGAACGAAUCCGAAAUUGAGUUAUGUCGUGCAAAAUUUCAUGAAACUUUGAUCAAGAAAUUUAACCAAAUAAAUUAAUAAAAUUGUGAGGAUUUUAUUUUAAUUGAAAAUUGUAGCAUAUAGUCACAUACUAACCGAAUGGGGAUCAUUGAUAAAUUGAUGAAGCAUGCAUAGGAUCAACACCAUGUAAAUAUAAAUAUAUACAUACCAAAAUAUACUGAAUGACAAUUUACGAAAAAUAUGUACAUGCAUAAAUUCGAAUGACAUAAAGGACACAAUUUUCUCAAUUUGAAUUUAACUGAAGAAUCGAACACAUGGAUCACAAAAGUAUGCAUAAAACAAUCAAUCACAAUUUAACAAAAAUCAUCAAAAAAUUAUGAAAACAAACAAAAACCCUUCACAACCCAUAUAUUCAUACAACCCUUAUGGUGAAUAGAGACUCCCCCCUUACCUCUAAUUUUGAGAAAUUGAUAAUUUCAUACGGUAAAAUCUCUCUCUAGGUUCUUCUCGUUAUUCCUCCUUGUCUCUUCUCUCCACAACCCUAGCUAAUUUUUCCGUUGCCGCUUUAUUUCUCUCUUUUUCGGUAAUCCUUUUUCUCUAAUAUUCUUCUCUAUUUAUAAGCUCUAAUUGAGUUUAUUACAAAUAUUUUUAGAUUACUAUAUGUUCUCUAGGUUUGUUGCUAAUCUUUCUGCACCUACACAAUCUUGCUAUUCGCACCUCCCUCUGCUUAAAUCAAUAAAGCACUACUCAGCUCACUAACUACAUCUCUUUUCUACCCAAUUUUACUAAUCCACCUUUAUACGCACUCUACUUUCUUAUUCUAUCUAAAAACUCUAUUUUCUUCUUAAAUAUUAUUUUCUCUCACUCUUUAACCGACUAACCAACACAUCUACAUGCUCCUUACCUAUUCUUCCAAUAAAUACAAAUAUUUAAAUUAAUACUACCUAACAACCAAUACUAAUAAUAGCAAUAAUACUAAUAUUAUCUAAUAAUAAUAUUAAUAAACUAAUAUUAAAAAUCGGGCUGUUACAAAAGGUGCUAAGAGUGAAACUGUUGUUCAGUCAGUACCUGAAGCUACUAGCUCUGAGGCUAAGAUAACUUCAAAGCCAAAGAACUCUAAGUCAAAGGCAAUGAUAACUUCUGAUUCUAAGACUUCAAAGAUUAAGAUUCUGAAGAGAUCAGAACUUGUUCCUCAGAGUCUGAUGAAGUCAGAAGCUGGUAUCUUAAAGUCUAAGUCCUAGAGGAAGAAAACAUUUGUUGCUACUUGGGACUCAGAACCUAGAGGUAUUAAACCUAAAGCAAUGAGUAACCAGAAGCAAUUAAACUCACAGCACAAGGUACAAGAAGUGAUGAGUAAAACUUACAGUACUAACCUGAAAGGACCCAUAAGACAAUGGGUACCUAAAUCUGAAAACGUCAAUAUUGCAGAUAUGUCUAAGAGCAAAAGUAAAGCAAAAAUCAUGGUACCUAGACAGCGGUUGCUCAAGGCAUAUGACAGGAGAGAAGUCUAUGUUCCUCACCCUUACAAUGAAAGAAGGAGGAAAUGUGAAGUUUGGAGGCAGCCAACCUGGCGUGAUUAUUGGUACAGGAACUAUUGGUAACUCCUCUAUCUUAAUUAAUAAUGUGUGGCUGGUAGAUGGUCUUGAACAUAACCUUUUAAUUAUUAGUCAAUUUUGUGAUAAUGAUUAUGAUGUGAUGUUUGGUAAGACCAGCUGUACGGUAAUCAAAAAGGAUGAAAAAUCCAUAAUAUUCAAGGGAAAGAGAGUAGUGAAUGUCUAUAAAAUUAACUUUUAUGAACUGGUUGAUCAGAAGGUAAUUUGCCUUCCUUCAGUGAAUGAUAAGUAAUGGAUGUGGCACAUAAGGUUAGGACAUGCUAAUUGAAGAUUAAUCUCUAAGCUUAGUAAGUUACAACUAGUUAAAGGCUUACCUGACAUUGAUUAUCAUUCAGAUGCACUUUGUGGUGCAUGCUAGAAAGGGAAGAUUUUGAAAUCAUCUUUUAAAACAAAAGACAUUGUCUCAACCUCCAGACCCUUAGAAUUACUUCAUAUUGAUUUAUUUGGACUAGUUAACACUGCAUCCUUAUAUGGAAGUAACUAUGGAUUGGUCAUUGUUGAUGAUUAUAGCAGAUGGACUUGACUAAAAUUCCUAAGAAGUAAGGAUAAUGCAUAUGAUGUAUUCAGUAGAUUCUAAUCUUAAAAAGAAAUGAAAAUUUUAAAAGUCAGAAGUGAUCAUGGUGGUGAAUUUGAAAAUGAGCCAUUUGAACUUUUUUGUGAAAAACAUGGAAUUGUCCAUGAAUUCUCUUCUCCUAGAACUCCACAACAAAAUGGGGUUGUAGAGAGAAAUAGAACUUUACAAGAAAUGGCUAGAACCAUGAUUCAUGAAAACAAUUUGGCUAAACAUUUCUGGGCAGAAGCAGUGAAUACAGCAUGUUAUGCAUAAAAUAAAAUCUACAUCAGACCUAUCUUAGAGAAAACAACAUAUGAACUCUUUAAAGGAAGAAGACUCAAUAUCUCUUACCUUCAUAAAUUUGGAUGUACCUAUUACAUUCUAAAUAACAAGCUCUACCUAAAGAAAUUUGAUGCCAAGGCCCAAAGAGGAAUCUUUUUAGGUUACUCUGAAAGGUCAAAGGCAUACAGAGUGUAUAAUUCAGAUACACUUUGUGUUGAAGAAUCAAUGCACGUAAAAUUUGAUGACAAAGAGCCUGGAAGUGAAACUCUAAAGCAAGAUGAAAGUUUUGCAGAUAUACAGGUCACUGAAGACAUUUCAGAACCUGAUAAGAAAGCUGAAUCUGAAGAAAGUCCAGAAGCUCAACCCACUCUAGAAGUUGAACCAACCUUAGAAGCACAAUAUGAAAAUGCUUCUGAAGAAACUCAAGAUGACUCUCAGCAAGUAGUUCAAUCCAAAAAUACAUUCAAGCACAAGUCUUCACAUCCUAAGGAUUUAAUCAUUGGAAAUAAAGAUAGUCCUAGAAGAACAAAAUCAUACUUCAGACAAGAAGAAUCUAUGAUAGGAUUAUUAUCAGUGAUUGAACCUGCCACAGUUGAUAAAGCACUUUCAGAUGAUGGAUGGAUAUUAGCUAUGCAAGAAAAACUAAAUCAGUUUCAAAGAAAUGAUGUGUGGGAUCUGGUACCCAAACCUCAGUAGAAGAACAUUAUUUGAACAAAAUAGGUAUUCAAAAACAAGUUGAAUGAACAAGGUGAAGUAACCAGAAACAAAGCCAGAAUUGUUGAACAAGGUUACAGUCAACAAGAAGGCAUUGACUACACUGAAACAUUUGCUCCAGUCGCAAGAUUGGAAGCAAUUAGGUUACUUCUAUCUUAUGCAGUAAAUCAUGACAUAAUAUUAUAUCAAAUGGAUGUCAAGAGUGCAUUUCUUAAUGGAGUCAUUGAAGAAGAAAUGUAUGUCAAGCUGGAAGAUUAUAAAGUGAUGAACACUCUAAUGCAUCCAACUAGCACCUUAAGCAAAGAAGAUACUGGAACAAAGGUAGACCAAAAGCUGUAUGGAUGUAUGAUUGGUUCCUUGUUAUACAUCACUGCAUCUAGACCAGAUAUUUUAUUCAGUGUAUGCUUGUGUGCAAGAUUUCAGUCAGAUCCAAGAAAAUCUCAUUUAACUGCUGUUAACAGAAUUUUCAGGUAUUUGAAGGGAACAACUAAUCUUAGACUCCUCUAGGAAAUCCCUAGAUUAUCAGUUGGUUGAAUUUUGUGAUGCUGAUUAUACUGGUGACAGGAUUGAAAGAAAAUAAACCAGUGGAAACUGCCAUUUCCUUGGAGAGAAUUUAAUAUCCUGGACUAGCAAAAGACAAGCAACUAUUGUUAUGUCUACAACAGAAGUAGAAUACAUCUCACCUGCAAGUUGUUGUACACAACUACUUUGGAUGAAACAUCAGUUGGAGGACUAUCUGAUAAAUGCUAACAGUAUUAUGUUCAAAAAGAAAUUUUAGAUAUACAAUUUAUUGAUACUGAACAUCAAUGGACGGAUAUAUUUACUAAGUCUUUAAAUGUUGAAAGAUUUGAUUUUAUAAAGAAAAAUUUGAACAUGCAUUUUGUGUCUGAUUAAAUUUGCUUGCUGUUGAACAAGAAGUUUGGUUCUGAGGUCUGUUCAGAAGCUUUACACGUACAAUAUAGUGUAUACCUUAUAUUGAGAGAGAGAGAGAGAGAGAGAGAGAGAGAGGAGAGAGAGAGAGAGAGAGAGAAGGAGAUGGUUGGGCGAUAUAGGAAGAGAAUGAAAUGGUUUGGUAAUCGGAAGAGAUGGUUGAUCACAAGCGAGUGAGAAAGGAACGAUAACGGUUCUUCUUUCUUUUUUGAGGAAAAUUGUUUUGUAACAGUAGAAAUCUAUUUUUUCUUUUAGAAAUAGGAGCCAAAUUCUUGAAAUUUUGGGAUUGGCGGAAAUGUUUGUAGCCAAAAAUUAUAAAGAAAUAGAUUUUUGUUAUUUUGAAUAAUAAAUAAUGUAAUAAAUGUAUCAUACAGAAGGUUAGACCGUGGGUAAUUAUUGACGACAAAAAGCCGUCUAUAAUUAUUGAUGGCUAAGCCGUGGGUAGCAAUUUCAAAAAAUUCACAUUGAACUUUUACAUGCCUUGGGUAAUCCAUCACUACUCUAAAAAAUUAACCACGGUCUUACGGCCGCGAGUAAUUGUUCGUGGGUAAUGACAGAUUUUUUUCUUGUAGUGAGGGAUGAUAAGAAACAAAACCAAAGCCAUAUGCAGAGGACAGAAGAGUUUCCACAUUAUUACGGCCAGCCAUGGUACAGUUUGAACAGAUUGAAUUGAGUUUAAAAAAAGAAGAGUGAAGCACCAAAGGAGGUAAUAGUGCAUGUCUUUACAUCGAGUGAAUUAGGUUGGAUGAAUUUGCCAACAGGCGUGGGAAAUAGAGGCUGUUCUGGUUUUCCAGAUGGAAGUCCAAAGGCAACAAAAUAAAUUUAUGAUUCCUCACUGUGACAAAGUAACAGGUUUGGGGCACUGUAACAGAGGAUAUUAUUUUAUUACACAUCAUAGAUCGGAAAUAACAACAGUAACAAAAAGUAAAAGGAUAUCAUCACCCCCUACCCUAUCCAAGACAAAAAUACCUAACCAAAUUGUCCAAAAUUCCUCACCUUGGCCAGUGUUUCUCCAGCAUUUUGAAUGGUAAACUGCAGAGUAAGACUCAAGUCACGGAUGGAAGAAAACACAAACUCAACACUAGAAGAAAUAUGUAUUACUUAAAAAUGACCGAUUUAUCCAAAACAUGGAAGGGGAAGUCUAUGAUAGCCUCAUCCUAAGCUUUUACAAAGGAAUCAAGAAGCAUUCAUUUGAUAAUAGACACCUUGCACCACUGUAAGGAAGACGAUAUCGUUGGGGGAGUAUACAUCAUAAGUCAAAAAUAAAAACGUAGACAACAAACAUACAAGAAUAUUAUCUUUCCCACGUCCAUCAGUCCCUAUCGAACAUACCAUCAAAACAAACAGCACCUGAUCAAGAUGUCCAUCCUAGGAAGGGAAGAGUUGCUCCAGAAUGUAGUAUGCUAAACCACUGGGUAAGACUCAAGUUACCCAUAAAGAAACACAAAAACUUCAACACUAUUAUAAACGAAAGGGAAGUACGUUAUAACAAAAAGAACUAAGAGAGAAAGAAAAGUAGCCUGAUUCCUCUAAUCAAGUUGAAGAUCAACAGCAUAACAAAGAGAGGCCCCAACAAGCUAUCCCAACUUCACUAGAAUCAUAAACUUUUGCACUGUCGCAUAUCUAAAACCCAAUGUACCAGAUGAGAAUGUACAGAAAAAUUAUGUUGUGACAAAUAGUCUGUAGGAAAAAGAACUGAGAGAGAAAGAAUAGGAGCUUUAUUAUUCAAACCAAGUCACAGAUCGGAAUAAUAAUGAAGCCCAGCAAGCUGUCCCAACUUCACGAGAAUCAUGUAAGCUUUUGCACUGUCAGAUUCAGAUCAAAAACCAAAUGUCGAUGGUAAGAACUUCACAAUUGUACAUCAAUAAAACUCGGAAGGAAAAAAAUGAACCCAACAAAGUUCGCAAUCCAAGUAGAGCAUUCCCAAAUAAACACGAGGCUUGAUACUAAACAGAAUGUUAUGGUUUCAGAACACAAUAGCAUCAUCUUUCAAUUUACAUGUAAAAACAGUCAGAACCAAAUCAAACCUUUGAAUCAAGAAAUCAGAAAAGUACCAUACAAUACAUGAAGACAAAAAAGGGAGAGAUAACACCAGAAAGAAUCACUUCUUCCUAAUUUACCUUACAUGCAACACGGGAAAAUAAAAAGUCAAGAAAAGUAUGCUUUCAAAAGAUUUGAGAAUUAUUGAAAACCAGAAGAAUUUAGAAGAGAUGACCAAAUCAAAACUCAAGGCUUCAUGCUAUGAAGAAAGAACAUAGUACUUCUACAAACCACUCUGCAGAAAAACAGGUGCACAAUUUUUAUAUGCUUCAUACUCACUGCUGGUACAGAACCACAAAAACUCCGACACUUGCAAGAUUAGUACAGAGAACAGAAGCACUAAUCAUCACAAAUUUCUACCUAAGUUCUUAUCGCAAAAUUAAUCCUAGCAGACAGUCGAAAAUGUAUAUCAAAAUUUAAUUAGUUUGCAGAAGAUAUGUGAUUAAUACAAACCGAUUUCUCCAUUUCAGACGGAAAAAUUAACAAAGUGCAGAGUGAUCGGAGACAUCUGUUGUACAACAAACCAAUGUAAAACAUAGCCUGUGAAAACAGAUGAUUCAUGUACAGAAAACCCACGACAUGACAAACAGUUGUAGAGGAAACCAACAAAAAGAAGGAAGAUAGUUUAAUUUACCAGAAACGUGUGAACUUUGCAUUGUCAGAUUACAUGUCAAAAACCUAAAAUGUAAGAUAACAGCAGUAUGAAGGGAUAAGAAUACUUACGGCUAGACUAUUCACAUAAAGGAAUAAAUCGAGAAGACAAUUUGUAUGCUUGAUCAGGUCACCACGAAACAGAAAUAAACCUAUACACUUAAUAAUACACAAAAUGUGGUUGUUUUAAGAUACAUUACAUUGCAAAAAACAGGUUUUAAUUCACAAUUCCACCAGGGAUGAUUAUCAUGUAUCAAGUUUUACAAAACAUUACCUUUUCCUGAGACUCAAUUGGAAACAUACAAAACAGAAAAUUCAUAUCAGAACGCAAGCUAUGUUUCCAAGUUCCACAAAAUAUUACUGUUACCUACUACUCAAAUAGCAAUACCUUAAACACAAAACAACAUCUGUUGUAACAGAGGAAUAAUAAUAUUUAUUGUAACAGAGGAAUUAGAGAACAACCAAUUGGAACCGAAACAAACUUCAUCAAAAUAAGAACUGCAAACGUCAAGAUACCUAAUAAUCAACCAGAAAGAAUAAGAAAUUGUAUGUUCACAAAUUAUUGCUCCUGCAACACCAAAGAGUAACGAAUCAAGAAAUAUUCACUCUGAGUAGUUAAAGAAAUAUUGAAAACAAAAUGAUUAUAAUAAAUAUCACCAAAUAAAAACGCUAGACUCAAUGCUGCGAAGAAAGUUAUUAGCUUGACAGACCAUGCUGCAAAAAAAACAUGUUCAAAAUUCAAUUUGUAUAACUUGCAAUCACAGGCCAUAAAUUAAAUUAAUAAAGGACUCAUUGAAGAAAAAUCAUUUAUCUAUCAGAUGUCGUUCCCCGUUAUUGUCCGUUGAAUCAAAUGUUCAAGAUAUCAAGACUUCCCUGCUCGCAGUACAACGGAUAAACAGAUCUUCGGUUAUCAAAUAAAGAAUUACAUUGAAAAAUAACACAAAGAUUGAAUAGAUGAAUUUUCUAGAGAUCACCAGGAAAAUACUCAAGGCUCCAUACUCUGAAGUAGGUGAUUAUUUAGACAAACCAGGCUGCAGAAAAAGCAUGUUCACAGUUCAAAUCUUUUCAUGAUCAAAAGCUUAAAUUGGAAACCAUGUAGAAUGAAUCAUUGAAGAAAUUCGAUUUAUCUAUGUGAAGCAAUUCCCCGUUCAUAUCUGUUGUGUCAAGAAUCGAAAAUGUUGUAGUUUUUCAAAUUUCCGCUUUCUGCAAAAUGGUUAAACGCAUAUCUCAAUUAUCUAAUUAUGAAGAAGUAAAACCAAUAGUUGGAAAAUAAACAUAUAAUUAUUGAAAAAAAACGAUCCAUAAAUGAAGAGUAGAGAGAACUGUGAAAUUCAAAACCAAUAGUUGGAAAAUAAACAAAUAAUUAUUGAAAAAAACAAUCCAUAAAUGAAGAGUAGAGAGAACUGUGAAAUUCAUGAUAUCUACAAUCCAAAAAAGCAUAUCAAACGCCAAUCCAUAAAGAUCUCCUUGAUAGAUGAAGAAACAAUUAUAUAUAAAAAUUUAAGAAAAAAAAUCUUCAUAACCAAACGAAUGAACAUGUUCACAUAUCAAUUUUUAUGUCCUUGGAAUCAAAGCAAAGAAAUAAAAAUACUAAAGAAUGAAUCAUUGAAGAAAUUUGAUUUAUCUAUCUGGAGCCGUUCUAUGGUCUUAUCCGUUGUAUCAAGAAUCUCAAAAUGUUCACCUCGCUGCAAAACGAAUGAACAUGUAGCUGCAGAAGAAAGCAUGUCCACCGUUCAAUUCUUCUCUUUUCAUAAUCAAAUGCUUGAAAUUGAAAACAAUAAAAAAUGCAUCAUUGAAGAAAUUCAAUUUAUCAAUGUGAAGUCGUUCUCCGAUUGUACCCGUUGUGUCAAGAAUCGCAAAAUGUUCUAGUUUUUCAAAAUUCCACUUGCUGCAAAAUGGUUAAAAACGUAUCUCGAGUAUCUAAUUAUGAAGAUCUCGAUUAUCUAGUCACGAAGAACAACCAAUAGUUCGAAAAUAUACAUAGAAUUCUUUAAAAAAGAUACAUAAAGGAGGAGUAGAGAGAACCGUGAAAUCCUUGAUAUCUACAAUCCAAAAAAGCAGAUAUCAAAACACCACUCCAUAAAGAUCUCCUUGAUAGAAGCAAAUCAAAAAUUAUAGGUUCAAAAUUCAAUUUGUAUGCCUUCCAAUCAAUGCUCAUAAAUUAUAAUAAUAAAGGCCUCAUCGAAGAAAUUAAUUUAACUAUCCGGAACUGCUCUACAUUCUUAACCGCUGAAUCAAGACAUUCUACUUCCCAGCUCACUGUUACUACAGAUAAAUGGAUCUUUCAAUUAUGAAACAAAGAAUUAUAGUGCAAAAUAACACAAAUGAUUCUUUAUAACCAACGUAAAAAAAAGAUUCUGGAAAAGUAUGAUAGUAUGAAAUAUAUGCUUCUCAUAUGGAAAUAUUGAAAGAAAAGAUUUUACCAGCAAUAACCAUAUCAAUACUCGAGGCUGCAGAAAAACAAUGGGAGGUUAUUAUUUUGACAAACCAGGCUGUAGAAAAACCACGUUCACAGUUCAAUUCGUGUCUUAAUGCUCAAAAUUGAAAAUAAUAACUAAUAAUUCAAUUUAUAUCUGAAGCCAUUCUCCGUUCGUAUAUGUUGUGUCACCAAUCACAAAACGAUCUGGAUUACCAGACUUCAGCUCGCUGCAAAACGGAUAAACGCAUAUCUCGAUUAUCCAAUUAUGAAGAACCUAUCCAAUAAUCCCAAAAUAAACAAAUAAUUCUCGUAAAACCUAUCCAUGAAAGGAAGAGUUGGGAGAACUGUGACAUUCCUGAUAAUUGAUAUCUACAAUCCGAAAAGAGUAUAUCAAAAUACAAAUCUGUAAUGAACUCCUUCAUAGCAGCAGAUCAAAGACCCUAGAAUCUUGUAUGCUUCAUACUCACGUUCCUGAUACAAAAACUUAAAAACUGCAACUCUAGAGCACAAAUACCGAUGUAAAGAAAAAAUGACCAGUUUUAUUUAUCCCAAGGCUGAACGGAAAGUAAGUGAACCUCUCCGCACAUGCUACACAGUUAGAGGAUUACGCCCCCUGCAACACCCACACAGAAAACUCAAAGGAACCGACAAAAGUGAAUGCUGAUUAUGAAACAAAGAUUGAAAUUAAAGAGAUAACCAAAUUAUAACCUAGCAACAGUAGAUAGUAUAUGACAGCCUGCAGGAAAUGAUGAUUCAUUGUAACAAAUUUCCAUCCAAUUUUCAAGAUCGUCAUGUAACCAUUGAAGAGACAAUAAAAUAUUGAAACAAUAAAAGAAAACUAAAGAAAGACUCUCCCAUCAAAGUUAAGUCGUCCCUAACAAUACGAGAAACACAAAAACUUGAACACAGGAAAAAAAACAUAAAAUCAUCAACACCAGCUUGUACACAAUUAGGACAACAAUUCAGAACAAAAACAUAUACGUAUGUAAAAGAUGACCAAAUGAAUGAGAAAGUCCGUGUUAAUCAAAUCCAACCUUGCAAGACGAGUCGAGAAGCACGAAAGCAUAAAUGUUCACAUUAAAUUUAGAUCGCCAAAUUAAGCCUCAAAGAUUGAAAAUUUAACUUGUUGAUUCAUGUAAUUAGUUGACAGAAGAUAAAUAGUACAAAGCAGAAACACUCAUCUCCAAUUACUCAACUUCAGACAGCAAAAUGAAUAAGGUACAGUGUAAUAAAAAAGGAGACGUCUGUUGAACACUUGCUCUGUAACACCACAAAGUCGUCUCAAUCUCUCCAAAGUGUAACCACUACUUCGCCACAUUACAUGUCAAAAAUGUAAAUGUAAGAAAUGGUAGUUUGAAGGAAUAGGGUGACAAUGUAAAAAAAACCAAGAAAAGAAAACGAAUAUUACCAUAAUUCUCCAAACCGAACCUAAAUAGAAGAAAACGUAUGAUAGGGUAAUAAAAAGGAGACUUCUGUGGUACACCAAACCAUGUAACAAUUACCUAGUGAACACCAAAUGACAGUGGUAUUAAUGAGAUGAAUACAAUUCAUAACCUGAUUGCUAGAUGCUACACACAUGCUGCACUGAACAGUAAAUGUUUCAAUUCACAAUUCAGUCCGAUAAUCAUGUAGUUUCACAAAACAUUACUACCAUCAUCUGCAAUCAGCAAAGUGUAUACAUCAGAACUCGAGGCUUCAUGCUAUGAAAAUGUUAUUAAUUACACCUUACGCCUCUUUCGUGAUAUUACUCGAGGCUUCAGUGAAAAGUAGACAGAGAGAAUGCAAAGGAAGACGAAGGGAGGAUAAAAGAAAAGUGGGAGACAAUGGAUAAUAGUGUAAAAUUCAUAUAUUUUUGUCAAUUCAAGUGUAACUCGAGGUGUAACAAGAAAAAAUCAAACAUCAUAAUUUCUUUUGCUAGUUUUAAUUAUUCAAAUAAAAAAUACAAAGAUAUAAUUAUAGAAGUUCAAACCUUACUGAAGUUUUUAAUAUCAUGAGUAUUUCCAAUAAAAAAAUAUCAAAGAAAAUCAAAAAGUGAUCAAACGCUGUUAAUUCAAAAAGUUAUUUUAUAUAUAAAUAUAUAAAUAUAUAAAUAUAUAAAUAUAUAUAUAUAUAUAUAUAUAAAUAUAUGUAAUAUUUUACACUACACUGUUGCAUGGUGAACAUCAUCUCAACUGUUAUUGCUCACUAAAAAAUUAUCAACAUGAUCUGAUACACUUGCUAGAUCGAAUGGUGUUAAUUCAAAAAGAGAAAUGAAAAUAACAAAAUUGUUCAUUAGUACAUCAUAAACAUAAAACAGCAUUUUCUUAUAGUUACUUCCCUUAUCAUAUUUUAAUUUUGUACUCUAGUUAACACUGCUAGGUCAAACAAUCAAAAGAUAACUUUCAAAAUACAUAUACAUAUACAUAUACUUCCAAAAUACAUAUACAUAUACAUAUAUACUGUCAAAAGACAACUUUCACAACACAUGAAGAAUUCCUAAGCUAGAAGCAGGCCUAACUAAUGCACCAAGGAGAAACAAUAGACUCUGCACACUUGGUUACGCAAAGAGCUAUAUUCCAUUAUUGUGGUUGUAACACACCAUUAAUAGUAAGAAAAUUGCCUGUUUUGUCCAAAGGCUGAAUGGAGGGUCUAUCAUGAUAUUCAACACAUGCAUUUCACAUUUCACAAUCCACCUACAUUUGCAACGACUGAGAUAAAAUACAAAGAACCAAUCCAAGCAGAAAGCACAAAGGAUGUAUAACCAAGUAGAAAUCACCUUGAAGCCGGUGCACUCAGAAAUAUCCACUUAGGAGAACCAAUUUAUUCAUAUGCACAUCAUCAAAUAACAAAGGCUAUAGAAAAGCUCCGCGAUUAAAAACCGCCAUUAGGACAAUAAGAGACCACCCAAGCUGUCCAAAACAGAUUACAGAUACAGGCAGGUCAAACCAUAAGGGAAUAUCUACUCCACUGACAAAGCUACAAAUUUGGGACAGAAGAUUCGUAUUCUUAUAUAACUAGAAAAGACGGCAGACUACCAACCAGAACAUAACACCAACCAAGCUGUCUAGAAUUUCAUAUCCUCAUCGCGGGCAAAAUCAUAUCCUUGUAUGCUUCAGUAUUCACGCUCCUGAUGGCAAAACACAUAUAUCCAAUACUAGCACGAGACAUUUUAAAGGAAAAUUAUCCCUAACACUGUAACAUAACUGAUCGUAUCACACGGCUGAAUGGAUAGUAUGUUAACCUCCGGUUUCCACAGGUCACUGCACACCACAUUUCAUAGUCCGUCUCCCCUGUAACACCCACACAAUCCAAAAGAACUGAAAAAAGAUACUAAGUAUCAGACAAAGACUAAAAUGUCGACUUUUAUUGCUAUACAUGUAAAUUUGAAAGGUGAUGCUGUUUUUUUUUUUUUUUUUGCAGUAUGGCAAUAAAAGUCAGAACCAAAUCAAACCUUGGAUUAAAAAAAAUCAGUAAAGAACUAGCGUACAAAACAUGAAGGCCAAAAAAAGAAAGAUAACACCAAAAAGAAUAAAAAAUAAUCAAAACAAAGAGAAACAAAACCAGAAGGAAUCACUUGUUCUUAAAUUACCUUCCCUGCAACACGGGAAAAUAAAAAAUCAAGAAAAACAUGCUUCCAAAAAUAUUGAAACCAGAAGAUUUUGGAAGAGAUCACCAAAUCAAAACUCGAGGGUUUUAUGCUACGAAGAAAGAACAUAUUUGUUUUACAAACCACGCUGCAGAAAAACACAAUUCAAUUCUAGUGUUUUGCAAACAAAUCCUAAAAAUAAAAAUAAUAAUGAACCAAAACUGAAGAAUUCUAUAUUUUGCAAUCAAAUCCUGAAAAUAAAAAUAAUAAAAAACAACAGGAUAGCUCGAAACAAAAUCAUGCAAAAUAACCAGACAAGAAUCAGAAUGACAAUUAACUAACAAUUCAUUAUUUGUGAUGAUCAUUAAAAUAAGUACAGCAACCACUAAGACCAACACCAGCAAGAACUAAAUCAAACCACAACAUCAAGAGACAAAACUAACCAGAAGGAAUACUCAACAUUAAUAGAUCACCUCUCUUGGAGCACCAAAAAGGAAAAUAAGAAAUCAAGAAAUAUGUACUCUCACAAUCCAAUCUGCAGCAUGUCUUAAGAACAAAGCCCAAAACUUAAAAAGUAAAGGAACGACUUUGAUAUAUCUGGACUAGUGUAUCUCCAAACGUUGUAGAUAUCCAAACUUUAGCCCUCUGCAAAACAGAAGUGUAUCUCUUGAUUAUCCAAGAAAGAUGGACAGAAUCAUAAAUAUUGUUGAAGCUCUCCUAAUAUUUAGUUUAAUAAUUCUAAACAAUGACACAUUACAAUGCCAAAGGACACCUAUUUUCCAGAAUAAGUACAUUCAAGGCAAGAAAAUGAACCGUAAAAUCCAAGGGUCUGCAUGUUCGUAAUAUUAAGGUUAGCUGCAGCUUUAAAAUCACAGUAUAUCAUAUCCGCUGUAACAAGAGCUGAGAAAAUUUCACAACAAAAAACCCCAUUUACGAACACAGGUAGUCAGAAAGGAACGAGAAAACUAAAUCCACAAAAAAGACAAGGAAACGUGAAGAAAUCAUUGUCAAAGUAGAGAUAACCAAAUGAAAGCUUAACAACGGCAGCCAAUUGCAGAUUCUUGUGCUCCAUUGAGGUCCCCCUUAAACCAAGUCCUUGCUCCAAUUGCAGAAUCUGUUAGGCUUUUGGAGACAAAAUUCUUAUCCAUAUUUAUAUAUACCACGAAACGCUGGAAAAUAGAAAACGAAUUAUUAUAGUAGAAUUCUUAUAUGCUUCAUGCUCUCCUGAGACAGAACCGCAAAAACUGACACUUGCAACAAAGUCCUUGCUCCAAUUGCAGAAUCUGUGAGGAAUACCCCAUUUUGGAGUGAAUAUUUUUAUUCUUGUUUAUAUAUAACCACAAACAGCAGAAAAAUAGAAAAAAAUUAUAGCAGAGGAAGGGACAAAUCAACAAAUUAAAGUGCCAAAUCAGUCCAGAAUUCAACAAAUUAAAGUGCCAAACCAGUCCAGAAUUCUUAUAUGCCUCAUACUUACUCCUGAUACAGAUCAACAAAAACUUGACACUUGCAAGAAACCAUCAGAGGACUCCGCUAGAAAAUUUACCAUUUUAAAUCCCAAGGCUGAAUGGAACCUUGCUUCCUGCCACAUUUGUAGGUUUCUCCUCCGUAUACACACAUAAAACUCAAAUACAGAGGAGUCCUUGGGCCACUGUAAUGAAGAGGACAUCUUCAUAAAUUACAAAUAUCAAUGAAAACUACGUUGAUCAUAGAAACAAGAUAAGUAGAACAAACAAAAGGCCAGAGACACUCAUCUCCGCCAAUUUCUCCCUAAGUUCAGAUCGCCAAAUUAAUCCUAGCAACAGCCGAAAACAUAAAUCAUGUAUCCUUGUUAAUUAGUUGAUCGCCAAAUACCACAACUUAUACCAUCCCACAUUACAUUCAUAGGCUAUCGCAGAACUUCUUAUUCUCGCCAUAGCUUUUGCAGUCCCAUCCCCCUAUAACAGACACAUGGAACUUAAGGAAUCAAGAAAACUAAAUUCCUAAGAGACACCCGUGACGAAUUAGUAUUUAGAGUGGAGAUCACCAAGUGGAAGUAUACCGAAUAGUCAGAAUUAAGUCACAGCUAAUUGCAGAUUUCUGCUCCAUGUGCAACAACAUAAAUUUAUGAUUCCUUGCUGUGACAAAGAUAUACAGAUUUGGGGGAAAAGAUUCUUAUUCUCAUAUAUCACAGAUAACAAAAAGAAUGGCAGAUUUCGAGAACAAAUAAACUCCAAACCAGGCGGUUCAGAAUAAAUAGUAUGUUAACCUUUGGCUUCCACAGAUCACAGCACACCAAAUAUUCAUAGUCUGUUCAAAAGAACCAAGGGAAGUUGAAGAGUCUCAAACAAAGACAGUUAUCUUCAAUUUCUCCACUUUCCAGAUACUAUUGAAAAGGUGCAGUGUGAUUGAGAAAGAAGUUAACAUUUGUGGUACACCAAACCCAUGUAACACUAACCCCGUUAACACCAGAUGAAAAUGUACAGAAAAUUAUGCUGUAACAAAUAGGUUGCAACAAAAAGAACUAAGAGAGAAAGAAUAGCAGCCUGAUUCCUCUAAUCAAGUUGAAGAUCAGCAGCAUAACAAAGAGCGGCCCCAUCAAGCUAUCCCAGCAUCUCUAGAAUGGCAUAAACUUUGCACCGUUGAAAAAGUAGUAUUGAUAGCAACAACUUCUAAGGGUGACCUUCUCAAUUGAACAUCAAUAAAAAUCGGCAAAAAAGAAAGCAACCAAAUUGAAUGUUACUGUCAUUUAACACACAACAUUGCAUCAAAACAACAUAUUUUCAAUUUAACAUGUAUGAAAAUAAAAGUCAGAACCAAAUCAUUUACUGUUUAUACAACUUUGCACUUUACUGUUUAUACAAAUGAUUUGUUAGAGAAAUUCAAGUUUGUUUUUUUAUUUAUAUCAAACUGUUUCUUCCUAUGUGUGUUAUUGAAUGAACUAUGAAGGAGUUGCCUCAACAUGUUGAAAAUUUUGAGAAAAUGCAAGUCAUGUUGACUAUCCUUGAACUUCUUUUAGCAAGUCUUUUUUAAGCACAUCCUUUCUGUUCUUGUUUUGAACAAAGUAGGUAUAAAAAAAAAAUUAAGAGAGAACCUCAAAACAAAAUCUGGCUAAACCACAACAACUUCAAACACAAAUCUAAAAACAUGAGUGAGUGUCUAAAGCUCAGACCAAAUCCUAGCAAUGCAUCAAACUUCCUAACCUUCGCACUAGAAACGUACCAAAAUUCAAUAUGUGGACUAAUGCUUCCGCAAUUUCCGAAGUUCUUUGUCCACUGCAUUGUCUAUUUCUCGAAUGCAGCUACGAAGCUUAAUCCACCGCGUCAUGGGUAAUGAGAUACCUGAACAAGAGUAAAAUUUCAUUGCAAAUUCUUCAUUUUUGUUUUCAUUGCAAAUGAAGAAUUUGCAAUGAAAUUUUAUACUUGUUUUCAGGUAUCUCAUUACCCAUGACGCAGUGGAUUAAGCUUCGUAGCUGCAUUCGAGAAAUAGCAGUGGACAAAGAACUUAGGAAAUUGCGGAAGCAUUAGUCCACAUAUUGAAUUUUGGUACGUUUCUAGUGCGAAGGUUAGGAAGUUUGAUGCAUUGCUAGGAUUCGGUCUGAGCUUUAGGCACUCACUCAUGUUUUUAGAUUUGUGUUUGAAGUUGUUGUGGUUUAGCCAGAUUUUGUUUUGAGGUUCUCUCUUAAUUUUUUUUAUACCUACUUUGUUCAAAACAAGAACAGGAAGGAUGUGCUUAAAAAAGACUUGCUAAAAGAAGUUCAAGGAUAGUCAACAUGACUUGCAUUUUCUCAAAAUUUUCAACAUGUUGAGGCAACUCCUUCAUAAUUCAUUCAAUAACACACAUAGGAAGAAACAGUUUGAUAUAAAUAAAAAAACAACCUUGAAUUUCUCUAACAAAUCAUUUGUAUAAACAGUAAAGUGCAAAGUUGUGUGUUAAAAUAGAAAAGGAUUAUAGCAGAGGAAGGGACAAAUCAACAAAUUAAAGUGCCAAACCAGUCCAGAAUUCAACAAAUUAAAGUGCCAAACCAGUCCAGAAUUCUUAUAUGCUUCAUACUCACUCCUGAUACAGAUCAACAAAAACUUGACACUUGCAAGAAACCAUCAGAGGACACCGCUAGAAAUUACCAUUUUUAUCCCAAGGCUGAAUGGAACCUCGCUUCUUGCCACAUUUAUAGGUUUCUCCUUCGUAUCACACACAUAAAACUCAAAUACAGAGGAGUCCUUGGGCCACUGUAAUGAAGAGGACAUCUUCAUAAAUUACAAAUAUCAAUGAAAACUACGUUGAUCAUAGAAACAAGAUAAGUAGUACAAACAAAAGGACAGAGACACUCAUCUCCGCCAAUUUCUCCCUAAGUUUAGAUCGCCAAAUAAAUCCUAGCAACAGUUGAAAACAUAAAUCAUGUUGUUAAUUAGUUGACAGAAGAUAAGUAGUACAAAUGGAGGCACUCAACUCCACCAAUUUCUCGCUAAAUUCAGAUUGCCAAAUCAAUCCUAGCAAUAGACGAAAACGUAUAUCAAAUCAUGUAUUAAUUAGUUGACAGAAGUUAAGUAGUACAAAAGAUAGAGGCACUCAUCUCCACCAAUUUCUCCCCAAGUCCAGAUUGCCAAAUCAAUCCUAGCAACAGUUGAAAUUUUAUGUCAAGUCACGUAUUCUUGUUAAUUACGUAUAUCAAAUCAUUUAUCCUUGUUAAUUAGUUGACAGAAGAUAAGUAGUACAAAGGAAAGAGGCACUAAUCACCAAUUUCUCCCUAUGUUCAGAUUGGCAACUCAAUCCUAUCAACAGUCGAAAGUCUAUAUCAAAUCAAAUAUCCUUUUUAUAAGUAAGUAGCACAAACCAAUUUCUCCAUUUCAGAAGGAAAACUUAAAAGUGAAAUGUGAUUGGAGACUUCUGUUGCACUUCAAACCUAUGUAACACUUAACCAUGACAAACAGACGGAAGAUAGUUUAAAUCUCCAAACCAAGCCGUUGUUAGACAUAUCAGAACUCCAGCUAUGUUUCCAAGUUCCACAAAACAUAACUGUUACCUAUUACUCAAACCUUAAACACAAAACAACAUCUGUUGACGAUUAAUAAUACUUGCUGUAACAUAGAAAUUAGAGAACAAUCAAUUAUAACCCAAACAAACUAAACAAUCAGAUCAUUACAUAAGAACUGCAAACAUCAGUCUACCAAAGAAUCAACCAGAAAAGAAUAACAUGAGGAUCAAACAAGAGAAUGAUAGAUAGAAUCGUAAGAAAUCAUACAUAGAUUAUUGCUCCUGCAACACCAAAGAGUAACGAAUCAAGAAAUAUUCACUCUCAGAGUAGUUAAAGAAAUAUUGAAAACAAAUAGAUUAUGAUAGAUAUCACCAAAUAAAUACACUAGGCUCUAUGCUGCGAAGGAAGUCAUCGGUUUGACAAACCGUGCUGCAGACAAAAAUGUUCAAAAUUCAAUGUUUAUAAAUACACUAGGCUCUAUGCCUUGCUAUCAAAUCCCAGAAAAAAUUAAAAUAAUAAAGGACUCAUUAAAGAAAAAUCGUUUAUCUAUCAGAAGCCGUUCCCCUGUUCUUGUCCAUUACAUCAAGUCUCCUAGAUUUUAAGACUUCCCUGCUCACAGUACAACGGAUAAACGGAUCUUCGAUUAUCAAAGGAAGACUUAUAUCGAAAAAUAACACAAAUAGAAAGAAAGAAAAGAAAAAGAAAAAGAAAAGAAAAACAUGAGAGUGUGAAAUAUAUGCUCUCAGGAGCAUUGAAUUUACUAGAUAAAGAUCACCACAAAAAUACUCAAGGCUCCAUGCUCAGAAGGAGGUUCUUACUUAGACACACCAAGCUGCAGAAAAAGCAUGUUCACAGUUCAAUUCUUCUCAUAAUCAAUAGCUUGAAAUUAAAAACAAUAAAGUGAAUCACUGAAGAAAUUCGAUUUAUCUAUUUGAAGCCAUUCUCCGUUCAUAUCCUUUGUGUCAAGAAUCGUAAAAUGUUUCUAGUUUUCAAGAAUUCUGCCACUUGCUGCAAAAUGGUUAAACAUAUAUCUCCAUCAUCUAAUUAUGAAAAACUAGAACCAAUAGUUCAAAAAUAAACAUAUAACUCUUGAAAAAAACGAUCCAUAAAAGAAGAGAGAAAACUGUGAAAUUCUUGAUAUCUACAUUCCAAAAAAGGAUAUCGAAACACCAAUCCAUAAAGAUCAAAAACCCAAGCGAAAGGAUAAAUUCCAGACUCCUGCACUGAGGCUCCUGAUACAAAAACAUAAAAACUGCAACACUAGCAGGGCACACCAUCAGAGCAUAACUAUCCCAUCCCAACACAAAUCAACAUGCAUGAAAAAAAUAACCAAUUUUUAGUCGCAAGGUUGAAUGAAAAGUAAGAGGUAUGACCAGCUUUAUUCCAAUACUAAACAAAAGUAAGAAAACCUAAAUGAGAUUCCAUCAGACAGUCUCAAUUUCUCCAGCAUUGUGUAAACUAUCACACUGUCAGAUUACAUCAAAAACCAAAAUGUAAUGAAUCAGCAGUAUGAUGGUGUUAGAAAAACUAAAGCUGAACUUCUCAGAUAUAAACAAGAGGAAGAUCAAUAGAACCAGAGUAUGUUCACCGAUCACUUCUCCUGCAACACGGAAGAGUAAAUAACAAAAAAAGAAAAAAGAAAAAAGAUAUAGGAUGUCGAUAAAAAAUUUAUAAAAUGAAAAGAAUUUAAUAGAGAUCACCAAAUAAAAAUGCUAGGCUCCAU